UAAUUAUCCACAAAGCACAUGCUGUAAUGUCAGAGUAGUAUACACAUGGAAAACCUUACCUAGAUGGAUUUAAUCACAUUAUUUUUGGUGUUUAUUCUUUGUUUUGUGGACUUUACUAUUCCCAAUAGGAACGAUGACAUGUGGGAAGCACUGUCGUGUAAGUACAACAUCAAUUGGAAUCUAAUUGGAUCAAUUAAAACUAUUAAAAACAAUCUAUUUACAUCAGGAAAUUUUAACUACUGUUUUGUGAUUCUGUCCCCAAUAAAAUGAAAAUAAAAUUCAGAAAAAAAGACAAUCAAAUCAUGACGAAAUGUUGUUUAUUAUUUGAAAAAAAAAACAUUUAAUCAAAGUCACUUAACUGAAACAGUCAGAUUUUAAUUUCCUUAAUUUUCCUCAUAAAAAAGAGGCUAAGUUGCCAAUAGGUAUUUUUUGGGGUAAAAAACAUGGUCAAGUUUUAAAUAUUGACAAAUACUUCUGAAUGUUUAUCAACAUUGUUAAUCAAAUAGUUAGAUCUAUUUACAUUUAAAUAUUUGUUUUACUUCAAAAGAGAGACAAAUUAAACUGAAAACUGUUCACUAUGACAGAGGUUAAAAAUUCAGAAGAUUGGAUAUAAUGGCAGGUGAUAUAAGGAUCUCAGUAAUAACUGAUAAUCGACAGAAAUAUAAAAGUAUAAUAUCCAUAUUUAGAAAAAUUACAAAUGAUUACCAUGGAAACCAUAAAUAUAAUAUUACACCUGUUAUUAUUUUGCAGACUAUUGAUUAAAUAUGUAUUUUAACGUUAUUCUAUUCCACAUAAGGACUGACGAGUCUCAAGAGUGCUGAUCAAACGUUUAGUUCCUUGGUAAUGUUUGGAUAGAACGGUUUAAAAUGACACUAUAACAUGACAAACCAAAAAAAUAGGUUCCCAAUUGAUUUACAGUUUUCUAGAUGCAAAUAGAAUAAAUUGAAGCAAUCUACAAUCUAAAAGUAAAUAUACUGUAGAAUAAUGACAGGGCUAAGGUUAACACAUUAAUGUUUUAAUUUGCAAAACUAAAGUCUGAAGGAAAUGUCUAUCAAAUUCUCCUUUAAACAUCAUGACUGUUUUGUCAUGUCAGUUGAAUGCAUAGUUCCACAUUAUGUCAUGUCAUAGCUUACUUUAUGAUAUGGGGUUUGCUUAUUGUUGACACAUUACAAAGACAGUAUAUGGUUACAUUUAGAGCUUUGAUACAUACUGGGUGAUCAUCAGACAUCUAGGUCUAAGAAUCUUUGGAGUUCCCUUAGUGUUCAGUAGUUUUGUUACCUUAAUUUUGGUUCCAUUUAAUGAGAUGUUUGUAGAUAUGUUUGCAGGCCUUUAAUAAAAUGUCAAAUACUUUGCAAUCUUUGAUACUCCAGUACUACUGGAUAUAAAUAAAUUCUCAGUACAAACCUGUCAGCCAUUCCCAUCUUCUCAUUUUCUGACCAGUGUCCAUUAAACUUACCUACAAUAGAAAAUAAUAACAAGGUUAAAAACAUAAAAUUAUGAUAAAUUUUAAUUCUAAGUCAUAAGCUGUCACAGGACUCAAUAAGCAACAUCAAUAUCUAAAUCUUAACACUUAGGGUUAGUUUAUUUCAUCAGGGUUUAAUCUUAGAUUGUCUCUAUUGACAGAAUAUCAAAAUAUGCUAUUUUGUUUUAAUAAAGUAUCAAUGAUAAAUUCAUAUGGAGUUUCAGCAGACACACACACACACACACAAAUAAGAAAAAAACUUGAAUUUACAAUCUGGAAUAUUUUUUUUUUAUCAAAAGGAAAAGAAAGGAUGUGGUUUAUUAAUUUAUUCAUAAAUCAAAUCACAAUGUUAAAUAAAUGAAAAUGACCAUUCUCUAAACAUAAAUUUUACAAAUGUAUACUAAUAAAAACAACAUAUGGUAAUGUCUCUCUCUUAUACCCAGUUGAUAUAAAUAAAAAGAUUGACUAUGUUAUUUAUAAUAAAAACACAUUUAGCAAGAGGUUUAUAUAGGUUCCUUAUAUUUCUAUUUAUCCAUUCAUUUUUUCAAAUUCAUUUUGGCUGCUGGAACUUUUGUCUCUGAGCAUUUUUAAUAAAGAAUGAAGGUAAAUUCAGAACAGUGCGAGAGUUUGAUUUCGUUUUUGAUUUUUAAAAGCUACCCUUUUGUCAUUCCUAAAAUAGCUAAUGGCAAAUUUUUUCCCUGAUUUUGCUAUCUUGAAAGAGUGAAACAUACCAAUUUUAAAUACCCAGCACCCUGCCGAUUAUCAACUUCAAACCCCACUAUAUACACCACACCAUGCCGAUUAUUGGUUUCAAACACGUCCAUAUGUAAAUAUGCUACUCAGGAAGUCAAAUUACAAGUAACAAGGGAAAAUUCAUCUACAUUCAUCCAUCAUAGCUAUAUAACCGAUGUCAUACUUUUAUUUGUUUUUCUCUCUAAAUUGAAUGAAAAAUCAAUGGCUAAAAUCAACCUAAUUAUAGUCAUACUGAAAAUAAAUCCACAUAACACAACCACCUGGUCCUAAAAAAUUAGCUUCCUGUUGGUUGUAAAUGUAUGAAUUUGUACGGUAAAAUUUCAAUUUAGCAUCCGGAGUGUAGCAUGAGUCUUGCUGUAGGACAUCGUACAACCUGAUCAUAUCCCAUGUAUUGUAUGGAGAAAAUAGAUUAAACUCUCAAUCGAUAAAUAAAUAGGAAAAUACUCGAAGAUCGUCGAUCAAUUUAGCGUUAACUUUAACGUUUGACUUGAUUAAAGGUAACAGCAUUAGGACUCUUCAUUUCCGUUUAACACACUGGUAUGGCUGACUUUAAUUGGGAACUGAGACUUCAAAACAUACUAAUCAAAAACCGUUGUAUGUCUUAGUCUUCUUAGAGUUUAAAUCAUACAAAGACAACGUAACACAAAACCAAUCUUUUUGUGAAAGCUUCCGUCAAAUCGAUGGGACUUUCUUUGCUUUUGUUUUUUGUUCUUUUGUUCUUGAUGAAUUUGCAUGUAUAAAUCUAUAUACAACUUGCUUGACAAUAAAACCAAUUUAUUAUUUUUAUUCCAAUCUAAUAUCAAAUGCAUGAAAAGUGUAUAAAAAGUUUUUCGGUUUCUUUUCCAAAUAUAAAAAUUUACCAUUAAGAAUGAGUAUGCAUGGAAAACUUUAAAUGAAUUAUACUCAGAUCUACAAGCAAUUCACUUUCUAUAAAUCACCAUGAACGUAUAACAGGGAAACUUUAAAACUGUGAUUUUAACUCCCCACAUUCCUUAUUUGUCUAUCCUAAGUUAGGAGCCUGCAGUUCAGGUGGUCAGUUGUUAGUUCAUGUCUUUCAUAUUUUUUUUUCAUAACACUAUUUGUUAUAAAUCAGGCUGUAAGUUUUAUCAAUUGAACUGUUUUCGCAUUUAAAAUGACAGGAUAUUUUGAAGCAAACUAUACAGUACCAGGGGUGGAUCCAGCCAUUAUAAAAAGGGGGGUUCAACUACAUGUCCCCAUUCAAAUGCAUUGAUUGUCCCAAAAAAAGGGGGUUCCAACCCCCGUAACCCUCCCCCCUCCGCCCCCACACCCCACCCCAUCCCUGGAUCCAAGCCUGAGUACAGGUUUUUAGCAUUGUAGAAGACUGUACAAUGUAACCUGUAAUUGCUAAUAUCCACUUCAUUUGAACUUUGUGUAUAUUUGUCUCACCGGCAAUCCUACCACAUCACUUUAUUUUUAUGUCUAAUACUUGUAAUUAUUUGUAACUGUGCCUAUACCAAUAAGCAAAAUUUUGCAAUAUCAUAUAAACAUCUUGCUGAAAUAACAUUUAGUUCAAUUGCCAACUGUGCCAAUAUUAUAAAAAGUUCACAGAUUUCAAAAUUAACUGAUUCAGAAAAUAUUUUUUUUUAAAUUUUUACCAAAAUAGCUGUUUUUUGCUUGGUGUGUAAAAAUUCUGUCGUGUCAUAUAAAGUUUCCAUUUUUUUUUAAAUAUCUGUUGGUUAAAUUAGCUUUGUUAGAAGAACUCACACAGGAACAAACAUCGUCAGUACAUAUACCUAUAUAUCAGUUAAGAUAGGCAAAGUUAUCAUAGGGGAUUCAGGAAAAAAAUUGGGAGAUUUCGUUUUAUGUUAUAAAAAUACAAUAAAUGUUCUGGUUAUUACCAAUGUUAAACUAGACCACACAAACAGUUACAUCUUAAUGAUAAUUUGUUCUAAUUUUUAUAGAACUUUAUCAUGAUCUUUAAAUGAUAAUUUGCUAUUUUUUUAUAGAACUUUAUUGUGACUUUUAAUUCACAAAAAGACAAAACGUGCAAAACGCCAGACACGAUUAAUCUUUAAUAAUUAGUUAUAAGUUUUGUAAGUAUUUAAAUAAAUUAAAAGAGAAGGAAAAUGUCAGCCGUCAUCACUAAAAAGUUAAUUUCAUAUGAAAUGAUCUUUUAAUAUUUUAAUAAAGUAAGCACAGAUGGAUCCAGGAGGGCCCUGCCCCCUACUUUUGUGGAAAAAAAUUGGUUGAUUAUUUAGCGAAUCACAGAAGUCAUUCAGUAAAUUAUGUAAAAAAUAUUCUCAGGUCAAAUUUCUUCACAAAAACACUUUUACUAGUAAAAUAUGAAUAUUAGGAGAAUUAAGAAGGUAUAUAGAUUUGAUCCAGUAGAGCUAAGUUACUGAUGUAUCAGAAACAGGUGCCCCCUCAGAUUACUGUAACAACAAAUUCAAUCAUCUGACUUUUUACAGUCUACUGAUUCCUAUAAACAAAUUAUUACAAUAGAUAUCCAUAUAGACAUGAUAGAAGUAUAGAUUCAUUUGAUUCUCAGACUCAACAAUAUUUAGUUUCAGUUUGAUAGCACUUUUAGAAAAUGGAUACUUUUAUACUUAAAAUAACAGGUCUGUAUAUGAAAUAAAGUAAUAUAUUAUCGGAGUUCUAAGUAAUUUCAACAAAUUUUUGAAAGAGGGAUGAAUAUUAAAAUUUGAAAUACUCAAUUUUCAAGACUUAUCCCCCCUAAUAAAUUAAAUAUAACAUAUUCAUGAAUCAAGUAUAUAUUUACAUUGACUUAACCAACAACACAUUUUACAAUUAAAAGCAGUUGUAAAAUAAAUAAUAAUUGUCAUGACAUCAGUACAUGCAACCACUUACAUAGAUAAAAGAAAAUUAUGUUUUAUAUUAGCCAUGAAAAUACUAAGAAUCUGUAUAUGUUUGUUAUCAGUGAUAAGAAGUAGUAUUUGAUGUGAUACUGGAGUGACUUAAGUAUUUCUAUAGUACUUAUCUAUCUCUGUUAAUAAUAUUCACUAAUCAAAUUAGACAAUUAUAAUCAAUUAUUAAAAUAUAUUCCUUGUUUAAUGGUUUUCUAUUGUCAAGCAAGUGAAUAAAUCUACUCAUUUAAAUUUAAUUUAAAAGGGGCACCUGCUAUCCUGUUAUUCAAUUAUAUAUACUUUAUAUAUCUUGUUGGUUUUAAAGAUUUUUAGAGUGUGUUUUAUUACAGUCAAAUGAAUGAACUAAAAGCUGUAUAUUCAGUUCCAUUUGGUGAAGUGCUGAUUGAAGCAAUGUUAAUAUAGUAAUUAAGUAUAUAGUGCACUUAAAAGUCUUUAAGAACAAUAUUCAAAACUACACUCAAAUUUCCUUCCUAAAAUUUUGUGAUUUAACAGAAAAGAGGAAUAACAAAGCUGAAUGUUUGUUUAUCCCUCCCCUUAAUCAAUAUUUCUAUACAUUACAAUCACACCCAAUAAUUCUCAUUUAAUUGUGUAAACCUUCAUAAAUAAUCUGGGUAAAAUGACAUAAAGAUUGUGUAUAAAUAAUGUAACCUUACUUUGUAUUCCUUGAUUAUGUAAGGAUAAAUACAGCUGGAUGGUAAAAUGAGGAUAUAAUCAAAUUGUGUAAAGUUUUGAUAGAAAAAGCAGGUUCUAUCUCAGUGACUACCAGAUUCAUUUAUUUUCUUAAGGAGAAUUUAGCCCAGAUGUUUGUAAUAAAACUUUAUCUAAUGGCUAUGACAUCAGUGAGUGUCCUUAGUUAGCCCACAUGCCUCUAAAAAUAAGAAAACAAACAGAUCUUAACUAUGUAAAACCAAACACACCUCAAUUCUUAAACAAUUGUCUUUUGUCUAAUUGAAUGUUUUUAUAUUUACAUUUUUUUAUAGAUAAACAUAAACAAUUUUUUUUGAACUCAUUGUGAAAGUGUCAAUGUACAAGUUUGUUUGCAUUUGUAGCAAAUUAAAAUAUGCACUGCAAAAUUACUAUCCAAUCAUUGUAUAAAUCAAAAUUUCCUAGACACAAAUAUAUUUAAAUGUAAUAUUACAUAAACCAUUUUCAGAUUACAUAUUUCUAAUAGGUGUUAAAUGAAGUUCAUCUCAAGUACAGACGUUAAGAACAUUACUAAGGAAUGAAAUACAAUGGCAUUAUUAAGUUGGAUCUACUCAUAUCUUUACAAUCAUGUUAAAGUCUGUCUUAGAGAUAUGUGUGUGGUAUUAGGUUACAUUUUAGUUAUCUUAACCUUUGAUAUGGUUUAGUGUCAUAUAUCAUGGCGAAGAACACACACCAUAACUAUUUUUACUUGCACUUAAUUUUUUAUAUUUGGACCAAGUGCCUUUGUAUUAUACGGAUCCACCAUUUUCUAUAAAAUAUCUUUCUUAAAGGGCUAUAAUUAUUACUAGUAAUUAUAUAUAUAUAUAGAGCCAAACUGACCGAGCCGAAAAAAUAAUAUCUUAAAAUUUGGGAUUUAUUCAUGUUUUUUUGAGACAUAGAUAUUUAGAGGUCUAACUUUAAACACUUCCUAACAAACAUCAAGGAAUAGGGACACUUAAUUAGGAUUAUUGGUGACAAGCACAUAUUACAGUACUUGGCCUCAGAGGAUUAUAUAAAGAUCUAUAGUCCAAAAAUAACCCAGACACGAAACCUGCAGAAAUAAAGAUAGGAAAUCUGUAUGACCUCCUUUACAAAUUCAAUAGAAUAAUGACUGCAUCAUACUUUUACACAUCUAACAAAAAAAUGAUAUUUUUAUCUCCAUGUCAAGUCUAAAUGAAAAAAUAUGGAAUCUGAACGUAAUUAAUAUCUGUCUGGAGAACAAAGAGAAGACCUUCAGUCCCUUGUUGUCCGUCUAAAUGGAUUAGAAAUUCAUUUCAGUUCAUACAAAUACAUUGAGAGAAUUAUCUGAAUAAAAAAAUAAUUUUUGUUCACACGUCGCGACGAUUCUGUGAAAACUAUUGGAAUCUCCUGACAAUUAGGACUUGGAAAUUUACACAGAUAUCCUACACUGCACCAUUACCACUGGGUAACUAGAGACGUCGACACUUAGCAUGCGUUAAUGGUCCAUUGUGUCACUAGAAGUAACGCCAAACUCAGUGGUUUUAAUACAGCCUUAUUAUUAUGUAUUUUUAGACUUCUUAUGUCAACAUUGUAAUAUCUGAUCCACAUUUUUACAUCAAGAGUACAGGUCAUGACUUUAAAACAAAUUGUUUUAUACAAUAGUAUCAAGUUUACAGCACUAUGCUACAUUCUGUGGGAAAUUCUAUGGAAAAUUGCAACAUGAAACAUGAAGUACACUCGCGGGUGUUUUAACGGUGACAUUUCCCAGGGUGGAGCUUCUCAAUAAAUAAAGCUGCCUUUAAAAAAAGAGUGCAGAUUUCACAUUAUUGGGUGCACUGUAUUGAUAUAAUAACAAAGUACUCAUUAUAUUUGUAAAUUUACAAGUUUUAUACUUUAGAUAAAAAUCUAAAUAUUUUCUGCAUAAGACAACAGUGAAAUACAUUGUAACCAAAAGUGAUUUGCAUUUUAAGUUUAAUCUUUAUUUUUAAAGAAAUAGAACAAUUGCUACAGAAAUACAUUCUAAUGAAAACUUGUAAUAUCCUGAAUCAAGCCUCCCAACAAUCAUCUAUGUGUUUUAAUUCAUUCCGUUAUCUUCCUGUUAUUGUUCUAUAUAACCUUCCGACUGAUUCUAUCCGCUGAUUGUCUACAGUGAUCUAUGCUACAAUCAACUUCAGUUUCUGUGACUACUGACAAUUAAGAGAAAUCUCCCAUCAUUCCAAACUUUACUUCGGGAAGAACUUGGUAAAUGUAACAGGGCUCAAUGAUUGAUCAUAUAUAUGAGUUCUGUAAAAUAUAAAUCAAGUAACGGGGGAUCCAAGUACAAGUAUAGUAUAGUUUGGGAGGGGGAGGGAUACUAGAUGUUUAAAAAUUCUGAAAUACUUAUCUGGAUACUAUUAUUGUUGUCCUAUACAUCUUAUUGAUUCAUUUCAUUGUUGAACUGAAAAAGGUUUUGUUGUGUUCUUUUGGUAUCUGUAAUUCUUAUAUACAGAAGCUGUCCAUUAAUUGUUGAGAUAGUAUGUCUUAUGUGUUGUUAGGCUGUGUCCAUUAAUAGUUGAGAUAGUAUGUCUUUUGUGUUGUUAGGUUGUGUCCAUUAAUUGUUGAGAUAGUAUGUCUUAUGUGUUGUUAGGUUGUGUCCAUUAAUUGUUGAGAUAGUAUGUCUUUUGUGUUGUUAGGUUGUGUCCAUUAAUUGUUGAGAUAGUAUGUCUUAAUUGUUGAGAUAGUAUGUCUUAUGUGUUGUUAGUUGUGUCCAUUAAUUGUUGAGAUAGUAUGUCUUAUGUGUUGUUUAGGUUGUGUCCAUUAAUUGUUGAGAUAGUAUGUCUUUUGUGUUGUUAGGUUGUGUCCAUUAAUUGUUGAGAUAGUAUGUCUUUUGUGUUGUUAGGUUGUGUCCAUUAAUUGUUGAGAUAGUAUGUCUUAUGUGUUGUUAGGUUGUGUCCAUUAAUUGUUGAGAUAGUAUGUCUUAUGUGUUGUUAGGUUGUGUCCAUUAAUUGUUGAGAUAGUAUGUCUUAUGUGUUGUUAGGUUGUGUCCAUUAAUUGUUGAGAUAGUAUGUCUUAUUGUUGUUAGGUUGUGUCCAUUAAUUGUUGAGAUAGUAUGUCUUAUGUGUUGUUAGGUUGUGUCCAUUAAUUGUUGAGAUAGUAUGUCUUAUGUGUUGUUAGGUUGUGUCCAUUAAUUGUUGAGAUAGUAUGUCUUUUGUGUUGUUAGGUUGUGUCCAUUAAUUGUUGAGAUAGUAUGUCUUUUGUUGUUGUUAGGUUGUGUCCAUUAAUUGUUGAGAUAGUAUGUCUUUUGUGUUGUUAGGUUGUGUUGUGUCCAUUAAUUGUUGAGAUAGUAUGUCUUAUUGUGUUGUUAGGUUGUGUCCAUUAAUUGUUGAGAUAGUUGAGAUAUGUCUUAUUGUGUUGUUAGAUUGUGUCCAUUAAUUGUUGAGAUAGUAUGUCUUAUUGUGUGUUGUUAGGUUGUGUCCAUUAAUUGUUGAGAUAGUAUGUCUUUUGUGUUGUUAGGUUGUGUCCAUUAAUUGUUGAGAUAGUAUGUCUUUUGUGUUGUUAGGUUGUGUCCAUUAAUUGUUGAGAUAGUAUGUCUUUUGUGUUGUUAGGUUGUCUUUUGUCCAUUAAUUGUUGAGAUAGUAUGUCUUAUGUGUUGUUAGGUUGUGUCCAUUAAUUGUUGAGAUAGUAUGUCUUAUGUGUUGUUAGUUGUGUUCCAUUAAUUGUUGAGAUAGUAUGUCUUAUGUGUUGUUAGGUUGUGUCCAUUAAUUGUUGAAUAGUAUGUCUUUUGUGUUGUUAGGUUGUGUCAUUAAUUGUUGAGAUAGUAUGUCUUUGUUUGUUAGGUUGUGUCCAUUAAUUGUUGAGAUAGUAUGUCUUAUUGUGUUGUUAGGUUGUGUCCAUUAAUUGUUGAGAUAGUAUGUCUUUUGUGUUGUUAGGUUGUGUCUUUUGUGUUGUUCAUUAAUUGUUGAGAUAGUAUGUCUUAUUGUGUUGUUAGGUUUGUGUCCAUUAAUUGUUGAGAUAGUAUGUCUUAUGUGUUGUUAGGUGUUGUGUCCAUUAAUUGUUGAGAUAGUAUGUCUUAUGUGUUGUUAGGUUGUGUCCAUUAAUUGUUGAGAUAGUAUGUCUUAUGUGUUGUUAGGUUGUGUCCAUUAAUUGUUGAGAUAGUAUGUCUUUUGUGUUGUUAGGUUGUGUCCAUUAAUUGUUGAGAUAGUAUGUCUUAUGUGUUGUUAGGUUGUGUCCAUUAAUUGUUGAGAUAGUAUGUCUUUUGUGUUGUUAGGUUGUGUCCAUUAAUUGUUGAGAUAGUAUGUCUUAUGUGUUGUUGGUUGUGUCCAUAAUUGUUGAGAUAGUAUGUCUUUUGUGUUGUUAGGUUGUGUCCAUUAAUUGUUGAUAUAUGUCUUAUGGUGUUGUUAGGUUGUGUCCAUUAAAUUGUUGAGAUAGUAUGUCUUAUUGUGUUGUUAGGUUGUGUCCAUUAAUUGUUGAGAUAGUAUGUCUUAUGUGUUGUUAGUUGUGUCCAUUAAUUGUUGAGAUAGUAUGUCUUAUGUGUUGUUAGGUUGUGUCCAUUAAUUGUUGAGAUAGUAUGUCUUAUUGUGUUGUUAGAUAGUUGUGUCCAUUAAUUGUUGAGAUAGUAUGUCUUUUGUGUUGUUAGGUUGUGUCCAUUAAUUGUUGAGAUAGUAUGUCUUAUUGUGUUGUUAGGUUGUGUCCAUUAAUUGUUGAGAUAGUAUGGUCUUAUGUGUUGUUAGGUUGUGUCCAUUAAUUGUUGAGAUAGUAUGUCUUAUGUGUUGUUAGGUUGCUGUCUCACAUAUCCUUUAUUGUUAUGCAAAGAUUUCAAUAUGGCAGCCCAUGGAAUAAACUGUGAUAUAGUUUUGUUGGGUAUCUAUAAUGACUUGUACUGGUAUUGUAACCAGUUCUAUUGAUGAGUUGUUGCACAGGAACACCCUGCCUACAGCAGGAAAUACAAACAAAGAAAGCAGUCAUUAUUUUACUUGAUAUUCUACUGAGCUACAAGCGUAACCCUUCCCAUAAUAUCAAGAAUGGUCAGUCGAUCUUCUAUUUAUCAAUACUUAGUUUAUUUCCUUGGCGGGAAAUAGCGGAGACAGCCUGAUGGUCAUUUGACUUAUUAUUUUGUGAUUAAAUUGUGUGUUUGUGCCAAACUUCCUUUACUGAAAACAGCGACCCAGGUGAUACACUCUCCGUUCUAAUCACUGAGGAAAUAAUUACUUUCCUUUUCUUCAGUCAAUUUAUAGAUUUACAGUAAGGAAGAAAUAAGUUUUAAUUAGAGAGAAAGAUGACAGACACAUGAUGGUUCUACCUCCAGGUCGGAGAAAUAAAUUUCCAGUGGCAAUUUUACAUCCGAUCUGUUGAUGUUUUUGCUUUUUUUUCUUCGCUGCAUAUAGAACGUACACGCUAUCUCAUGACAUUAGUUGCUAUUUUGGGAAUUGUUUUGACAGAAGAAUUCAAUGAAAUAAAAAGUUUUUGUUGCCUGAAUUGUGUGUGACAUUGCAUGUUAUCCAGCAAUGUAAAAUAAGAUGUUGUAUAUUGGGAUAAAACUAUUGGUAACAAAGUGCUACAUAGCUGAUAACAUGAAUGGAUUGAUAUGUUUAAUGCUAAUAAUAAUCUUUCUCAAGUAUCGUAAAAUUAAAUCCUAUACAUGUCCUCAUAAGCAUAAAAUAAAAUAACAAUUUUUUUCAACUGCAAUAUCCUUGGUAACGUCCUUGGUAACUGCAUAUCAAAGUGCAUGGAGAUAUUUUCAUCAUUUCAAAUAUUCAAUAUGACACGGAUAAAUUACACUGAAAAAAGAGACCAUUUAAAGGAUAAUAAGAGAAUUUUUAAACUCUGCUAGUAUCAGACCUAUCUAUUCCAAACUGCCACUCAAGUAAUAAAAUACAAAAGUCAAUAAUUAAUAUUUAUGUUUUCAGUCUGUUUAAUUCAAAAGUAGGGCGGAAUGUGACUUAAGCAGCUGGUUCCCUGUUGUUUAAUAUCCAUUUUGGUACUAAGCCUCGGUCAAUUACCGGAAGCCGAAGACGCCAACGGAUAACUUUUUUUCAAUCCGUUCAUGUCGUAACGUCCGUUCUUAUCCGUUAGGCGUCCGUCCAAAUCCGUUGCAUUCCGUUAAGCGUUUUUAUCCGUUGAGUCCGUUCUCCGGUGGAAAAUUUUGAGCAUGAUUUGAACGACUCCAACGAUAAAAUGUCCGUUGAACGUCCGUUAGGCGUCGUUAGGCUCCGUUUUGUACGGUACUCGUCCGUUUUGUAUCCGUUACGUGUCGUUAUGCAUCCGUUGGAGAAGACCAAAUCACAACGGACGUCUACCGGAACGCCUAACGACGCCUAACGGAUAAAACGGAUGUGAAACGGACAUUAACGAAGGAUAACGAUAAAACGGAUGCCUACCGGAUGUAAAACGGACAAAUGCCAAUUGAAAUUUCGCGUUAGAAAUGCCAAUAAUUGGUAUGUCAGAUUUUCUUGAGUGUCAUGAAUAUUUAUUAUUCGUGAUGGACUUGGAGUAAGAGCACGUCUUCGCUACCAAAGCUCUAUUCAGGCCAGACUCACCUAAUGUAGCAAAUAUAAACCUUAUAGUGUCGAAAGGAGAAGAAGGAAAGACAAAGGAGAUUGGACACGACAUGGCUUAGUCAAAGACGACAGUUUUGGAUGAAAUCAUGACCGAACUAUGGGAGGAUCCAGUCCUUUGUACACUCCUUCGAAUGCCCAAGAGAUGUUCGACGAGAUAUUGCAAGUUGGACCUCGCUAGCCAACAGAAUCCUUUUACAGAAAUCCACUGGAACCAGGACUCAGUUAGCAAUACACUAGACACCUCUACUGGAGCAAAAUAUCGUAGCAUGCAGUACGGAUGAAGAGUUCCGUAUAACACAUUAUCCGUUUUCAUACCAGAGGUACAUAAUAUAAACAAAUUCAGAAAAUCAACUUAAACUCUAUAAGACUGAAUUACCACACUGCUUCUACCUUGAUUUUUUUUUAAUCAGAGUAGCUCUAUAUUUGCACACAUAUCAUGCUAAACAAGACGCAAUACAAAAUAAAAUCAACUAAACCUGUUCUAAAGUGACCCUCGAAAAACGUAAAAAAGAAUCGGAUAAAUUGUUCAUUUGUUUGGUACGUGGAUUGAACCUGUCCUACUGACCACACUUCCAGAACAAAUAUUAACAAAUAUACAUGAGAUACAAUCAUUUAAGUCACGUGUAUUGGUUUAUGCCAUUAAUUUCAGAUGGUUUAUUGCUUUUAAUUUUCAGAUGGUUAUUGCCUUAAAUUUUUAGAUGGUAUUGCCUUUAAAUUUUCAGAUUAUUUUGUUCAUCCGUUUAUCCGUUACGCUUCCGUUAUGUCCUUUAUCCGGUAUCGUCCUUGGAGUACGUUCGACGUCCGUUCUGUCGGUACGUAUCCGUUUUCAUGUACCGUUCAAUGUCGUUGUGGUCCGUUAGAUUCUUACAUGAAAUUGUAAACCAACGGACUCCCAACGAUUUUUGUCAACGGAUAACUUUUUUUUUAUCCGUUAGGCGUCCGUUCGAGCUAUCCGGUAAGGUGUGACCGAGGCUUAAGGAAUCAAAAGAGGACCCAACAUUUUUUGUUGUUACAAGUUAACUGAUUAGAUGUCAAAAGCAAAUGUCCAAGAAGACAACUGUAUAUAAAUGUUCUGAUUAAGACAAUAAAGCGUGUAAUCUAUUUUCUGCAACGUUACCGUCCUUAAUCAGGCAUACACGUCUUUACAAUGGAUGAAAUAGUAUCCUUGUUCCUAGACACUAUUCUAAAUCAAUUUGACCUAAUCUACCUCAGAAAAAGUCUGAUGUUAUCUCCCGUCUUAACGUCAGUAUGAUGACAAAAAAUGGACAAAUAAAGAGCUACGAUUAAUCAAAACUAUUUCUUAGAGAGUCGUGGAUGAAUUUAUGAAUUCUCAAAUAGAUAGAAAAUGAUCUUCAUCUCCUUGAAAGGUAAAAGUUUAAUAGCUUUGUUUCAGAAAUAGUUUACGAUAUCUGGCCAAUAAAGAUCCUCUAUCGGACAACGUAAGAUAUGUUUAUGAAGGUUUAAAGAUGAACAUGUAUCAAUAUGUUCUAAAAAUCUUCAAAAUUACAAUACGUACUGAUCAUUCCGUGGAGGGAAAUGAGAAAAUAAAGAGAAACCAUUAAUUGAAAAGUUUGUUUUUGACAUAUAAGAAAUUGGUUAAGAUAGAUAGGCGUAAGAUUUUGAUUACAUCACAACCUAAGGCUUAAUGCAAUAUUUUCCAAAUCAUUUUUGAAAUGUAACUUUUCAAAAGGUUCUGAUUUUGAUGUUAGCAUCAAUCAAACCAUGUUAUAAUUUUCAUUAAUUUCCCUCCUUGACCAAUAACGUAUAGAUACAAUAAAACUGAUUUAUUGUUCAGCAAGUAUGCAACCAUAUAAAACAUUAAAAAGCUCAUGUUAUAGCUUCAUUAGAUAUUAUGAAUAUAACAAUUUGUUUCCAGAUAUUAAAUAUAAUUUGUACUGGUUACUCCGUCUUUUCAAUGACAAAUGGCGGGGGAAACAUUCAAUAUUAUUUUGAAUUCUUCAGUUUAUCCUGUAUUAAUGUGAAGAAGAGUUAAUUAAUAUUUAUGGUUGAAAAUGCUACAUGUACCAAUAAACCUAUAUACCUUUACCUUUUGAAAGUAUAACAGGGACAUGUAUGAUCAUAAACAGGUCAACAAUUAUAAUAAAGAUGUUUUCUCAUUUAUCAUCAAUCAAUGCAACUUUUAAUAAAUAAAUAAAAAUUGUAAAAUUUGAUAUCCAGUUUAUUUUUUCAAAUAAUUUUAAAAAGGAUAUCAAAUUCUUCCAAUAAUGAUUCAAUUGCAUGUCUGGUCUUAAAUGUUCUGCAGAACAAAAUGUUAUAGAUCUAUUUGAGUUUUGGGCUAUUGAGGGUUUUUUCUCGGUUUUUUUUCCUCGGUUUGUUCCUCCCUUUUUGGAAUUUGCAUUUUAUUUAUUUGGCUCUUAUCUUCCUUUGUCUAGACCUCAAGUACUAAAAGAAUUAUUUCUAGUGUAUUCCAAUUAGCCAACGAUUACAUCAACCUGUUGAUUAACAAUUACAAAGUUCUUUAAUCAACCAAUCAGAAAGAUGUGCAUCAGUUAUUGACAAAUCUUAUCAAUUCUGGAUUUUUCAAAACCCUUUUAUCAGUUCAGGAUAGAAAUCAGAUAUAUAAAUAGAGGAGAAAGUUUAAACAAAAGUAAGUUGUUCAACUAAGCAAAAAAACUGCAAGAUUAGAAGUGAAUGAAUAGCUUAUGUCAAAUACAAUGGACUUGAAUGCCAAUAACACUGUUAUAGAUUGGUCUGGAUUAAAACAUAUACAAUAAAUUACAUAACAUUAGACUGUUGGUAUAAGUAUAUUAUAUAUCAAAGGGAGGAAACUUGUAAUAAAAGUCAAUGUUCUUUAAUUUACAUUGCAAAAUUCAUAUGUUUAUUCAAGUGAAACAAAUUAAGAACAUAUAUAUUACUUCAUUAUGUAAACUGUUAUGAAAUAAAAUCAUAAAUGACUCUGUUAUUCUAACAGUUUAUGUAUAUAUAUUGCAAAUUACUUAAAUAUUUAUUUUAUUCAAUGGAGCAAAACUUAAAUAUAUGGGGAAAUUCAAAUUUCAAAACAUCAGCUCACAUAAUUUGAACUUUAUUAUUUAUGACAAACAUAGCAUUUGAAAAUGAAAAAAAAAGAUGAAAAUUGGAAAACUAAUGCAUAAGGCAACAUGUUCAGUACUGAACAGUUUAAUGUUGUGUCUGCCAGAAUUUUUUUUUUUAUUUUACCAUUCAUUAAAUUUGAAAUAAGUGUUCGUCUCAACUUAUCUCUACAGUAAGCUAGCAAAAAACUAUUGAAUUUGACAUAAGCACUUGACAUAGCCAUUAAUUUCAAUUUAAUAACAAGCACCUGUUCAGAGAUGAUUGAUGGGAGCUAACUCUGUAUAAAGUAUGAUCAUGUGAUCAGUGUAGAUACAUAUGUUGAUAAUCCUUUUGUACUUAGAAUCUUUGUUCUAUCUUGUUUAUCUAUUUGUCAAUCUGUCUAUCUAGAAUAAAAUUUAUGUUCUUAGAAUAAUGAUGAGAGACAUCUUGUAUUAUACUUUUUGUCUUGUAAUUAUCACUUAAGAUUCUUCACGAUUUUUACAGGUCAACAAGUCACCCAAAACACUCGGUCUUUUCAAACCUUUAUUAAAUGGGUUAUAUAAUUUCUAGGUCUUCCUUAAGGAAUCAGGUAGAUACAAGAUCUAUCUUGAUAUGGACGUCUCCUCUGCUCAUUGUUGAGGACACCGAGUGACAAAAGACUGAGAAUGUUAAAGAUAUCUUUUUAAAGUCUGUGUUGUAAUAUGUUUAUACCAACUCAUUAGCUAAUCUGCCUGUCAAUCUUAUUUAUCUGUUAUACAAUCUGUCUAUCUCAGUUAUUAAUCAAGAUCAAGAUUAAGAUAAAAUUAUUAAAUAUCAGUUAUUUAUUUGCAUGAAAUAAAUUACCUUUUAAUUCAAUUAUCAACUGCCCAUAUCUAACAUGACUAAGGAAAUGUUUGGGGGUUUUGUAAACAAGACAAGAGAGAAGAGGUUAUUUAGUCAGUUAUUAUACUUAGGUUUAAUGUCUUCUAUUGUCUUUCUUUGAAUUGAAUGAGAUAGUCUUAUUGUCUGAUAUGUUUACUUCUAGGUAUCGCAGUAGGAGUUCAUUUGUGGGAUUAUAAUUUUCAGGGUGACACUACCAGGAAAAUAGGUUGUUGCUCCUUAAAAUUGGUCAGAGAAAAAUAAAUAGAAUUAAAAAAUCUUGCAAGUCAAAUAGAGUUCAAUGUUAUAUGAUUGUUUUAUUGGACUAAUUAGGACGACUGUCUGCCAAUCAUAUUACUGGACAGAGGUUAUAUCUGGGUCAGAUCUAUUAUAUUAUAUCAAAUCAUUAUACAAAAUAAACAAAUAGAAAUGAUAGGUCUGUACAAUAAGUAAGCUAUUAACAUAUCUUCUUCAGAAAGCUGAAGAGAAUGUUUCAAUACAUCUAAACAGGUUCAUAAAUCAGUAGGUUUUAUACACCAUUCAGUGCUCAGAUGUGUUUGGGCCAAAACUUUUAAGGUGAAGUUAAUAAGGAUGCGCUUGAUAUGUGAUUUUGAAAGUGAUAAGCAACCAAAAAAAAAUCAUGUCUAUCUGUAAACCAUAAUAGACUUAGUUUCUUCAGAUGAAGUAAAUAAUGGGUCAUUUAAUUAUUCAUUUCAAAUAUUAUGAAGACUGUUGCUAAAAUGCUCAAAGGUGUGGGUUAUGUAUCUUACUACUUUGAGCCUCUGUGUGGUUACAUCAGGUUCAAAGGUGUGGGUUAUGUAUCUUUCUACUUUGAGCCACUGUGUGGUUACAUCAGGUUCAAAGGUGUGGGUUAUGUAUCUUACUACUUUGAGCCACUGUGUGGUUACAUCAGGUUCAAAGCUAAUCUUUACCCUUUCCAGUUGUAUUGGGCAUUCGAGAUCUUUAUUCUUUUAUUGAAAACAUGAGAUUUUUAAAACCACAUUAACUUUUUAGAACAAACCCUUUAAAUCAGAUAAAACCACUUUUGCCAUUUUAAUGUUAUUUGGACAUAAUAAAUGAUAUCCAUAUUUAGAAAUGAAGUAAUUUGGUAAUAAAAUGCCUGAAGUUUUCAGUAAACAAAGCUUUGUUAUCACUGAAUCAAAUAAAUUGACUUAAUAAUAACUACAUUACUACUUUCUAAUAAAACUCUCAUUUUGAUACAAAAAAAAAAUAUGAAGUGUUUUGAUGACCAAUUAAAUUAUUGAAAACAGAAAAAUAUUGUUUCAUAACCAAUGUAUUUUCCAGAUCAAAAGAGAAUUAUUCCGUCAACGAUCUUCAUUAGAUGUUGUGAUAGUAAGAGAUCAAUUCUGUUGUGGAACUAUUACAUAGCUUCAGUAGAAAUAUCAUGAAAAUUUAAAAUUCAUUUCAAAAGACUAAUGGGAACAAACCAAGCAUGACUGUAAAAAAAGAUGUCAUUGCAUGGUAUGCAUUAAAAUUGCUAUAGAGCAUGACACUUUUUUGAAAGGUCACCCAUGAAAUAGAGUCUUGGAAACAAGAAUUUUUAAGUCUGGAAUUGCUACCAAUUUAGUUAGCAUAAUGUAAACUAAUGUUAAUUUUUUAGCCAUUUAUCUGAAAAUUCUCAUAACUGUAAGAUCACACUCUUAUAGAGAGAGACCAAAAAAAAAUGGGAAGAAAACAUGAUAAACUUACUAAUGUUUGAAAAAAUUUCCCUGUUUGUUAACACUAAAUUUGUUUCAGCCCAAGUUUGUGAGGCAUGUUAAUGUGUAGGGUAUAUAUAUAAAUGUUAUUAAAACAUUCUGAAAUUCAAAUAUUGAACUAAUUAUCACAGUUUAACACUUGAAAUUUGCUCGGUUAUGAAAAUCAAUUCUUAUGUAAAAUCAAAUUACAUAUUUUCAUUUAUUGUGCCUUUUGCAGAUCGAGAGAAAAAUAAUGUUCUUUUGCAGUAGACUUAAUAUACCGUAAAAAGUCUUGGAAAACAAAAUCUACAGUUAAUAACAUUGCGGUUAGCAAAAUGAAAAAACUUUCCUAACAAAGAUGUGAGACCAUGUUCUAACCUGGAAUCAAAACGUAUUGUAAAUGUCUCUGAUGGUAUUUCUAAUGCUCUUUGAGGAUGAAUAUCUAAUAAUACACCACUUAACACAAAACAAACAAUCCAUUAUUCCCAAUAUUGUUUUCUUUAGUAAAUAUUUUACCUUGGCUGAGAACAAUUGGAGUUUAUUGCCGACGUCAUUAAGAAUAAGCGUUUAUAUAACAGGACAAGAUACAGAUCAUUGUAACAAGUCUUUUUACCGUUGCAUGACAUACAAUAAUGUUAGACGAGUAUAACGCUUUGAUCAUCAGGAAGAUCAAUUCUACGUAGCGCUGCCGAACAUCGCUGUCGAACAUCGAUUGGCCAGAUACUGAGCAUUCCUUUAGGAAGAUUACAACUUUAAUACCAACCAAAUCAAGUGUAUCAAUUUUCUUUCUUCAGUAAAUUGGUGUAAUUUGAAGAAAAUGUCAUUUUCUUUAUUUAAUUAUAUGUAGCAUACGAGCUUUAUGAAAGGGACAAGAUAGAAAAUAGAUUUUUAUCAAUCAGAUAACUCUCUUCAAAUUACGUUUCUUUAAACUUAUCCAUAAAGAACCAAAAAAAAUAACAGAAAACGAAACAAUUCAAAGAUUAUUCAAAAUUAAAACAACCAAUUCAGGAAAGAAUUUAAAAUAAUUAGAAAAUUAAACAUAACAUUGCUGCCGGAAAGUGAAACAAUUCAAGCACAACAUCCCGUAAUGAAACAAUUCUAAAGUAAAAAUACAGCGUACAAUAUAACAUUGUAACCAAUUUAAAAGAAGCAACCAUUCAAUUGUAAGGGUCAUCUAAUUAACUUGUUAUAGGGACUGUAGCUAAUAGCUCAUUACGUAAUGUUAAAAGUUAUAUAGGACUUUGAAAGUUUAGUAUCAAUAGUGACCUUUAUGUUGGGUUGCUGUCUCAUCGUCAUAUAAUGCAUGCUUAAGUGAAAUAAUUUCCAAUAUUUAAAGUACGCUGAAGCCAUGUAAUUAACUGGUUUAGAUUUUUACACAUUAUAAAUCAUUAAUAAACAGAAGUCAUUUUUCCGUAAGAAAGGAAGCUUUUAAAGAAUUACUUGGCAUAAUAUGUAAGCUAUAUUCAUAUGGUAAGUUGUCAUAAUGAGGACAAAGCAGGUCUUUAUAGAUUGACAGGAUAUACCAUUCCCUUUCCGGAGACGAAAGGAAACUAUUAUCAUUAUAACACACUUUUUCUCUCAUCUAUUUGUGCUAUAAUUGACACAAAAUUUGUCAUAAAAAAGAAAACUUCCUGCAUUUCUGAACAAAAUGUUACGAAAUAUGUCAUUCCACUGUAAUGGGAUCUAGUCUUGUGGAAAAUAUGUCAAUUAUACCGCACAUUGUGUAAGAUAAUGGAAGGUCAUGAUGGAUAACAUCCACGUACAGGUAUCUCACUCAAUCAAACUUGAUAAGGGUAAAGGUCAAUGAAACAGCAACCCAACAAAAAUAACAACCAAAUGUCAAUUAUUCCGAACACUGUGUAAGAUAAUAGAAGGUCAUGAUGGAUAACAUCCAGGUAGAGGUAUCUCACUCAAUCAAACCUGAUAAGGGUAAAGGUCAAUGAGACAGCAACCCAAAAACAUUAACAACCAUUUAAUGUUUUAUCCAUAUAGCCACUUGUUUUCUCUUAUGAAUUGUUUUACAUUUGUCAAUUAAGCCUUGUAUAACUUGCUGUGUGGUAUGGGUUUUGUUCCUUGCUGAAGUUUGUUCCUUGGUCUAUUAUGUGCUGUAACUUCUAUGUCAUUUGGUCUCUGGUGAAGACUGAGUUGUCUUAUCAGUAAACAUACUACUUGUUCCUUGGUCUAUUAUGUGCUGUAACUUCUAUGUCAUAUGUUCUCUGGUGAAGACUGAGUUGUCUUAUCAGUAAACAUACUACUUGUUCCUUGGUCUAUUAUGUGCUGUAACUUCUAUGUCAUAUUUGGUCUCUGGUGAAGACUGAGUUGUCUUAUCAGUAAACAUACUACUUGUUCCUUGGUCUAUUAUGUGCUGUAACUUCUAUGUCAUAUUUGGUCUUCUGUGAAGACUGAGUUGUCUUAUCAGUAAACAUACUACUUGUUCCUUGGUCUAUUAUGUGCUGUAACUUCUAUGUCAUUUGGUCUCUGGUGAAGACUGAGUUGUCUUAUCAGUAAACAUACUACUUGUUCCUUGGUCUAUUAUGUGCUGUAACUUCUAUGUCAUAUUGGUCUCUGGUGAAGACUGAGUUGUCUUAUCAGUAAACAUACUACUUGUUCCUUGGUCUACUGUAACUGCUAUGUCAUUUGGUCUUAAGACUGAGUUGUCUAGUAAACAUACUACUUGUUCCUUGGUCUAUUAUGUGCUGUAACUUCUAUGUCAUUUUGGUCUCUGGUGAAGACUGAGUUGUCUUAUCAGUAAACAUACUACUUGUUCCUUGGUCUAUAUGUGCGUAACUUCUAUGUCAUAUUUGUCUCUGGUGAAGACUGAGUUGUCUUAUCAGUAAACAUACUACUUGUUCCUUGGUCUAUUAUGUGUCUAUUAUGUGCUGUAACUUCUAUGUCAUUAUGGUCUCUGGUGAAGACUGAGUUGUCUUAUCAGUAACAUACUACUUGUUCCUUGGUCUAUUAUGUGCUGUAACUUCUAUGUCAUUUGGUCUCUGGUGAAGACUGAGUUGUCUUAUCAGUAAACAUACUACUUGUUCCUUGGUCUAUUUAUGUGCUGUAACUUCUAUGUCAUAUUUGUUCUCUGGGUGAAGACUGAGUUGUCUUAUCAGUAAACAUACUACUUGUUCCUUGGUCUAUUAUGUGUGCUGUAACUUCUAUGUCAUGUGUUCUCUGGUGAAGACUGAGUUGUCUUAUCAGUAAACAUACUACUUGUUCCUUGUCUAUUAUGUGCUGUAACUUCUAUGUCAUAUUUGUCUCUGGUGAAGACUGAGUUGUCUUAUCAGUAAACAUACUACUUGUUCCUUGGUCUAUUAUGUGCUGUAACUUCUAUGUCAUAUUUGGUCUCUGGUGAAGACUGAGUUGUCUUAUCAGUAAACAUACUACUUGUUCCUUGGUCUAUUAUGUGCUGUAACUUCUAUGUCAUUUGGUCUCUGGUGAAGACUGAGUGUCUUAUCAGUAAACAUACUACUGUUCUUGUCUAUUAUGUGCUGUAACUUCUAUUCAUUUGUUCUCUGGUGAAGACUGAGUUGUCUUAUCAGUAAAACAUACUACUUGUUCUUGGUCUAUUAUGUGCUGUAACUUCUAUGUUCAUUUGUCUCUGGUGAAGACAGUUGUCUUAUCAGUUAACAUACUACUUGUUCCUUGGUCUAUUAUGUGCUGUAACUUCUAUGUCAUUUGUCUCAGGUGAAGACUGAGUGUCUUAUCAGUAAACAUACUACUUGUUCCUUGGUCUAUUAUGUGUUGUAACUUCUAUGUCAUAUGUUCUCUGGUGAAGCUGAGUGUCUUAUCAGUAAACAUACUACUUGUUCCUUGGUCUAUUAUGUGCUGUAACUUCUAUGUCAUAUUUGUUCUCUGGUGAAGACUGAGUUGUCUUAUCAGUAAACAUACUACUUGUUCCUUGGUCUAUUAUGUGCUGUAACUUCUAUGUCAUUUUGUCUCUGGUGAAGACUGAGUUGUCUUAUCAGUAAACAUACUACUGUUCCUUGGUCUAUUAUGUGCUGUAACUUCUAUGUCAUUUGGUCUCUGGUGAAGACUGAGUUGUCUUAUCAUAAACUACUGUUCCUUGGUCUAUAGUGCUGAACUUAUGUCAUUUGUCUGGUGACUGAGUUGUCUAUCAAGUAAACAUAUACUUGUUCCUUGUCUAUUAUGCUUAACUUCUAUGUUCUCUGGUAAGACUGAGUUGUCUUAUGUAAACAUACUACUUGUUCUGUCUAUGUCUGUAACUUCUAUGUCAUAUGUCUCUGGUGAAGACUGAGUUGUCUUAUCAGUAAACAUACUACUUGCUGUCUAUUAUUGCUUAACUCUAUGUCAUUUGGUCUCUGGUGAAGACUGAGUUGUCUUAUCAGUAAACAUACUACUUGUUCCUUGGUCUAUAUGUGCUGUAACUUCUAUGUCAUUUGUCUCUGGUGAAGGACUGAGUUGUCUUAUCAGUAAACAUACUACUUGUUCCUUGGUCUAUUAUGUGCUGUAAUUCUAUGUCAUUGGUCUCUGGUGAAGACUGAGUUGUCUUAUCAGUAAACAUACUACUUGUUCCUUGUCUAUUAUGUGCUGUAACUUCUAUGUCAUUUUGUCUCUGGUGAAGACUGAGUUGUCUUAUCAGUAAACAUACUACUUGUUCCUUGUCUAUUAUGUGCUGUAACUUCUAUGUCAUUUGGUCUCUGGUGAAGACUGAUUGUCUAUCAGUAACAUACUACUUGUUCCUUGGUCUAUAUGUGCUGUAACUCUAUGUCAUUUGUCUCUGUGAAGACUGAGUUGUCUUAUCAGUAAACAUACUACUUGUUCCUUGGUCUAUUAUGUGCUGUAACUUCUAUGUCAUUUGGUCUCUGGUGAAGACUGAGUUGUCUUAUCAGUAAACAUACUACUUGUUCCUUGGUCUAUUAUGUGCUGUAACUUCUAUGUCAUUUGGUCGGUGAAGACUGAGUUGUCUUAUCAGUAAAUACACUUGUGUCUAUAUUGCAACUAUGACUCUGUGAGACUGAGUGUCUUAUCAGUAAACAUACUACUUGUCCUGUCUAUUAUGUGCUGUAACUUCUAUGUCAAUUGGCUCUGGUGAAGACUGUGUCUUAUCAGUAAACAUUCUGUUCUUGUCUAUUAUGGCUGUAACUUCUAUGUCAUUUUGUCUCUGUGAAGACGAGUGUCUUAUCAGUAAACAUACUACUUGUCCUUGGUCUAUUAUGUGCUGUACUUCUUGUCACUCUGGUGAGACUGAGUUGUCUUAUCAGUAAACAUACUACUUGUUCCUUGGUCUAUUAUGUGCUGUAUUCUAUGUCAUAUUUGGUCUCUGGUGAAGACUGGUUGUCUUAUCAGUAAACAUUACUUGUCCUUGGUCUAUUAUGUGCUGUAACUUCUAUGUCAUUUGGUCUCUGGUGAAGACUGAGUUGUCUUAUCAGUAAACAUACUACUUGUUCCUUGGUCUAUUAUGUGCUGUAACUUCUAUGUCAUGUGAUCUCUGGUGAAGACUGAGUUGUCUUAUCAGUAAACAUACUACUUGUUCCUUGGUCUAUUAUGUGCUGAACUUCUAUGUCACUUUGGUCUCUGGUGAAGACUGAGUUGUCUUAUCAGUAAACAUACUACUUGUUCCUUGGUCUAUUAUGUGCUGUAACUUCUAUGUCAUUUUGGUCUCUGUGAAGACUGAUUGUCUUAUCAGUAAACAUACUACUUGUUCCUUGGUCUAUUAUGUGCUGUAACUUCUAUGUCAUUUUGUCUCUGGUGAAGACUGAGUUGUCUUAUCAGUAAACAUACUACUUGUUCCUUGGUCUAUUAUGUGCUGUAACUUCUAUGUCAUAUUUGGUCUCUGGUGAAGACUGAGUGUCUUAUCAGUAAACAUAUACUUGUUCCUUGGUCUAUUAUGUGCUGUAACUUCUAUGUCAUUUGGUCUCUGGUGAAGACUGAGUUGUCUUAUCAGUAAACAUACUACUUGUUCCUUGGUCUAUUAUGUGCUGUAACUUCUAUGUCAUAUUUGUUCUCUGGUGAAGACUGAGUUGUCUUAUCAGUAAACAUACUACUUGUUCCUUGGUCUAUUAUGUGCUGUAACUUCUAUGUCAUAUUUGUUCUCUGGUGAAGCUGAGUUGUCUUAUCAGUAAACAUACUACUUGUUCCUUUGGUCUAUUAUGUGCUGUAACUUCUAUGUCAUGUUCUCUGGUUCUCUGGUGAAGUCACUGAGUUGUCUUAUCAGUAAACAUACUACUUGUUCCUUGGUCUAUUAUGUGCUGUAACUUCUAUGUCAUUUUGGUCUCUGGUGAAGACUGAGUUGUCUUAUCAGUAAACAUACUACUUGUUCCUUGGUCUAUUAUGUGCUGUAACUUCUAUGUCAUAUUUGUCUCUGGUGAAGACUGAGUUGUCUUAUCAGUAAACAUACUACUUGUUUCCUUGCGUCUAUUAUGUGCUGUAACUUCUAUGUCAUUUGUCUCUGGUGAAGACUGAGUUGUCUUAUCAGUAAACAUACUACUUGUUCCUUGGUCUAUUAUGUGCUGUAACUUCUAUGUCAUAUUUGGUCUCUGGUGAAGACUGAGUUGUCUUAUCAGUAAACAUACUACUUGUUCCUUGGUCUAUUAUGUGCUGUAACUUCUAUGUCAUUUGGUCUCUGGUGAAGACUGAGUUGUCUUAUCAGUAAACAUACUACUUGUUCCUUGGUCUAUUAUGUGCUGUAACUUCUAUGUCAUUUGGUCUCUGGUGAAGACUGAGUUGUCUUAUCAGUAAACAUACUACUUGUUCCUUGGUCUAUUAUGUGCUGUAACUUCUAUGUCAUGUUUGUUCUCUGGUGAAGACUGAGUUGUCUUAUCAGUAAACAUACUACUUGUUCCUUGGUCUAUUAUGUGCUGUAACUUCUAUGUCAUGUGUUCUCUGGUGAAGACUGAGUUGUCUUAUCAGCAAACAUACUACUUGUUCCUCGGUCUAUUAUGUGCUGUAACUUCUAUGUCAUGUGAUCUCUGGUGAAGACUGAGUUGUCUUAUCAGUAAACAUACUACUUGUUCCUUGGUCUAUUAUGUGCUGUAACUUCUAUGUCAUUUGGUCUCUGGUGAAGACUGAGUUAUCAGUAAACAUACUACUUGUUCCUUGGUCUAUUAUGUGCUGUAACUUCUAUGUCAUUUGGUCUCUGGUGAAGACUGAGUUGUCUUAUCAGUAAACAUACUUGUUCUUACUUUUUUAAUUUGGUGAAAGAAAAAAGAAGGGAGAAAUUAUACUUGUUUUAUUUAUUUGUUUAAAUCUAUUCAAUUCCUCAUACAUUCCUUUUUCACCUCAUAAAAAAUAAUUUAUUUUCUCAAGUUAAUAUGAGAAAAUAUCUCAAAUCGGAUUACAAAUUGCUUUAAAAGCUCAGGGUAACAUUUUAGCUUGUAAUUGUAUAUAAAUGGUCCAUUAAAAUACAUUAAACUCUCCACAUAUAAUUAUUGUACUACACAGUAAAGGACAACUACAGGUCUAUGUUAAUCAAUUGGAAAAUUAUAGUCUUCAAAAGUAAACAUCUUCUUAUAAAUGACUUUUAAAGUUAUAGUGUGAAAAUAAAAGAUUUUAUAGCGAUCCAACUGGACUACAAAUCGUCAACAGAUUAUUUUUAACUAUGGUUUAUAUACCUUUAAUACAAGACCUUAGUACCGCAAUAAGGUUAAAGAUCAUUUGAAGCUAUAGCAGUGAUGUAAAUUAUUCAAAGAUUUCUUUUUUUAUGUAUUUAUAAUCAGAUGUUUCAAAUGUAGGUUAAUACAGCUCUUUUCACAAAAAAACUUAAAAUUUAUGAACAUUUCAAUAUAACUUAUAAUCCAUUGUAAUUGAUUUUUUUGUAAAAAAAAAUGUUGGUUAUUCUUUACUGAAACUUAAUAUUUACUUUUUAAAGAGAUAUUGCAUAGGCUAAAACUUUUACAUAAUUUUAAAAUUAUAGGGUAGUAUUGACAGCUUUGGUCUAAUGUUUCUUUACCAAUAAAUAUUGACCUAAAUCACAAAUUACAGAGUAGCUCCUAAACACUGUGGUCUAACACCUUUUAACCAAAUUCAUCUAAUUCAUCUUUUAUUAUAAAAUUUAAAGUGACAACAUUUUAUAUUUGUAGAAACAGUAAUUGUAUAUAACUGAAGAAAUUACUUGAGCUAGAGGGCAAACAGAGAAAAUCAUCUGUCCUUUGUACAUUUCCCUAUCAUGUUUAUCUCUAAUUUCAUUUCCAUUUAUAGAAACUAACAUCUGCUAGAUCCGCUUACUUAAAAAAAUGUUUAUUUUGAUAGAAAAGUUUUCAUUCUCUGACAGUUUAACCAUUCAAAGGCAUUUGUAUGUGUAGUGAAAUUGGUAUUCUGAUGUAACGAUUUAUACUUUUUUACAUUUUGAGAAAGAACUUCAUGUUUUUUUCACAUUAUGCUUAUUCCAAAAUACAUUUUAUUUUUAUUUCCAAUUCUUUGUUGACUACAAAUUAAAUUUAUUCCAUUUAUUGACUGACCAUCUGUAUGAUUAGAGGGAAAGUUCUACAACAUGGACUCAAAUUUCACAUUAACAUCCCCCUAUCAUAUUUUACAUAAAAGUUUAUCUGUUAUUUUAAUUUUGUAUCAAUGUUCAAAGACAAUAGCGAUUUCUCCCAGAUAAUAUCAAAUUUCAAAACAUUACUUUUUCAAUCAGUUGGAAAAUUUGUCAUAAUUAUGCAAGAUAUCAAGAACAUAAAAUACAUUAUCUGAUUGGCCGAAAGCUGAAAACACUAAUAUCAUGUGUCAUAUGCCCUGGACAUAUGGAAAAUUGUUUAAAGCGAACUUUGAUAACCAUCUAUGACAACUCUCUGAUGGUCAGGAUGUCUAAGGACAAAAAUCCAACCUUGAUACAUUAAUGGGCCAUUAUUAUUGACAACUACUCUAAAUAUUUUUCACCCUUUAUUUUUUUAAAAUUAUGAUGAUUUUUGAUGUUGGAGAAAACAGCAGAGAACACAUCAAGUAAUUAAACUUCACAAGUAUGACUGACUUUUGAUGAGUUAAAUCAGAAAUGUGAAAUUUUAUUGGAAACAACUCUAUAAAAUAAAGUUAAGGAUUAGAGUAUGUUUGAUGUUUGAUCCUGGGAUAAGUUAUGUAUUUAUCAAGAUCAACAACUGAUUUAUGUGGGAAAAUCACUCUAUAAAAAUAACAAUAAAAUGAAAUUUUCCAGUUGUCUGACAUAACCAGGAUAAUGGAUUGUACAUGUAAUAACUUUUAUAAAAUUAUUACCAAGAUUUUUAAAGUUACAAAAGAAAGUAUACUUUUGUACCAGAAAUUUAUAAAUAUACAUUUUUGUACUUGUUUUUAAAAUUUCUUUGAGGAAACAAUUAUUCUGCAGAGUUAUGAAAACAAUAAACAUCAUGUAAAUAUUAUCUUGUCUGAAAUGAUUUUUUUCUCAGAUCUGAGAUGAACAGAAUACCAGAAUUCUUGACCAGUUUCCGCCAUUUUCAUAUUUAUAUUCAGUAAAUCACCAAGUGGAAUUUCCUAUUUACAAACAGUUCAAGAUUCCCUUAUUAUUAGCUAAAAAAACGCAAUAAAAAUUUCCAUUUUAUAGACAAUAUUAUCUUAAACACUAUAAUUUUCUUCCUAGCAUGCUAUUUGUGGCCUCUUUUUGGUCAACUUUAUUUUCCUAAAUGGUUCUACGAAUUGCUUGAUUUACAAGUAAAGCUAGAGUUUUAUUGUUGGACUCGGUAGAUAAUCACCCAUCUCCCUCAGACACAAUAAAACUUUUGUCUCGGAAAGACCCACUAUCCAUACUGCAUUCAUUGUCACUACAUCAAUGGACGAUGGUCGCCUGUCAAACCCUCGGCCAAACUGACAAGUGACCAGAUGACAAUGCAUCAGAGAUGUUUACUUAUGCUAUUUUCAAAGGCAGCUUGAUUAAACACUUGAGCAACUCAGAUAACCAUCAGAGUCAAACGGUCACUAUGUUAAUUUGUGAGGUUACAAUUUGAAUCGUAUCUGUCCUUUUGGUCAAUAAUACAUUUAUUUCUUCCAAUUUCAAACAUGUGCCACUGAAAUUGUAAUUAAUGAUAAAUGCCAAGAAAACAACAUCUAUUAUUGAGCAUUGAAAUGAAUUCAAUUAAAACUUGUAUUCCUUAAAAAGGAAAAUCCACAAAACUGUGAGUUAAAUUUAUGAGUUUUUGCAGACAAUGGAUUUAAGUACAAUGAUUAGAAUCAAUGAACAUCAGCUUUAGUCUAUUACCGUAGCUUUCUGAAUCACAGACAAUCGCCAAACAUAGACAGUGGUUGUAUUAUGUCAGUUCAGUUUACCUAUACUUUUGGCCUUGCUGAUCUGUCAUGUGGGUUUUUGUCCAGUUUAUCUAUACUUUUGGCCUUGCUGAUCUGUCAUGUGGGUUUUAGUUCACUUUACCUAUACAUUUGGCCUUGAUGAUCUGUCAUGUGGGUUUUAGUUCAGUUUACCUAUACUUUUGGCCUUGCUGAUCUGUCAUGUGGGUUUUAGUUCAGUUUAUCUAUACUUUUGGCCUUGCUGAUCUGUCAUGUGGGUUUUUGUUCAGUUUACCUAUACUUUUGGCCUUGCUGAUCUGUCAUGUGGGUUUUAGUUUAGUUUACCUAUACUUUUGGCCUUGCUGAUCUGUCAUGUGGGUUUUAGUUCAGUUUACCUAUACUUUUGGCCUUGCUGAUCUGUCAUGUGGGUUUUAGUUCAGUUUACCUAUAUUUUUGGCCUUGCUGAUCUGUCAUGUGGGUUUUAGUUCAGUUUACCUAUACUUUUGGCCUUGCUGUCGUCAUGUGUUGGUUUUUAUUUCCAGUUUCACUGUAAACUUUGAGCUUUCUAUUUAUUGUUUUGUGGGUUAAUGCUUAGUAUCAAAGUAUAACUUUUGUAUCAAAAUUCUAAAACCGUUCGUCCUUUUUUCAAACCCAUAUUUAUGAUUAUCAAAAACUGAUUUUUUAAUUAAAUCAGAGCUCAAUGUUUAUGUCCUUAAAUUUGACCCACCCUCAUAAUUGAACACAUGGACUCCUGUAUUAAGGCAAGCAUGUCAUCAUAAGAUCCCACGGAGACAGUUGUCAUGGAUGGGAAAUAUCUAAACUAAGAAACUUUAAUGCCAAUGAAUCCUAACCCAUUUAUACUGUGAACAUCCAUAGCAACAAUCAAUGGCAUGGUAACGUUUUACACCACAGUAAUUUUGAAAAAAAGAUUCCCUGAGUUUUAAUGACCUUUUAGUAAAUAAAUAAUGUUGCAGUUGAUGGAACAAGUGCUGCAGUCAUCAAAUUCUACUUACAUACAUACAACCUUAUGAAGAUCAAUCCAGCUAUUGAUCUAUACUGGAUGAUGCAAAACUCCAUUUCCUCUAGUUUCUAGUCAAAAUAAAACUAAUGCAUAUUUGAGAACGUUUUACUUUUAAUGACAGAAAGACUAAAUAUUCUCAAGUGUGAGAUAAAGAUUCGUAAAAGAUGAAUAAUGGAGAAUUGUUAUUUCAAAAACCAUAACCAAAGUACAUUUUAUCUUCAGUUUUAUUCAAGAACAUUUUAAAAUUUGUUUUUGUCAAAAGAAAUGUCUGAUGUUUAUGGCUUUUUUGACAAACGACUUUCAUAUUUUUUUUCUCCAAAAGCAGUAUAUCUAUCUCUAGAUCAUUAUAAUGGGAAUAUAAUCUCGCUGAAAACAUUUCACUAUAUUUUACCUAAAGCAUCUAUAUUUUGAUGGCUUUUAGAUACGUACUACUGAUAAACGAAAACAUGGUGCUGAAAGUCAUUAGUACUUCGACAAUCAGUGAAAGAACCUUUUGAUUUUUCUGGUUCUUUACAAAAGCUAUUUUUUUCUGAUAAUCAGCAGCAUCUUUUGAACAAUGAGAGCCUAUAGAUAUAACAUAGUCACAAUAGACAAUCUACAAGCCAAUAUAUCUACAAGACAAAUAUCUCACAUAGAUAUCAAAUAUUUAUACUCUUUUCAAGAUCUUCAAUGAUACCGUAAAUGACUUCUCUACAAAAUACAUACAUCUUCCGUAUUGAUCAGUGAAAAUUCAUAAUAAAAUGUCUACAUUAAGGUAGGAAUCGAUGAGGACAGCUACCAAUAAAAUCCUCAAAUAACACAAUCAAUCAACCGGCCCUUUGUACUUUGUAGUUUCAUCAACAAAGCAAGCCUCCCUAUUUUCCAGCUAUAUUAUACUCUAAUUCUAAUUUGAAAAAGAAAAUGAAAAUCUAAUUGUUUAUUAAUGCUUUUUAAUGGAAAAUACAUUAGUGCUAUCAAUGGAGCUAAUCAUAUAUAUACAAGAGAACUUGGACAGUAGACAUAAUCAACUCUAAUUUCUUUAGUCUUAUCCCCAUAGUAUUGUUAAUCUAACGGUCAAUAUUCUAGUUAGGGCUUUAUUCUACUAACUAAGGUCAAAUACAGUACUGUUAAUCUAGCCACUCAUAUUUUUGCUCUCAUAAUUCUGAUCUAUGCCAAAUCUAUUAUUAUAUUACAAUGUCAAAGAUGUAGUUUUUUGAUCCUUCAUUAUGAGACUUUUGUCAUUGUUCGAUCAGGCAUUAUCAUAGUCUUUGAUGUUGUGGGUCCCAAUUUACAUACCAGUGCAACAUGUUUGGAAACAUUUUUUUAUAUUUUAUAUAGGAUCACAUACAAUAUAGUUCUCAACUUAAUGACUGUAGAUUAUGUUUUUGUGGGAUACCAAUUUUCUUUGAUUUUUGCUGGAAGGAGAACUAUCCAAUGUCCCUUUAGACAAGUACCAUUUUACAGCAAAGUGAGAGCAUAUUACAAUUCUUAAGUUUAUUUGAAUGCUACUGUUUUCUUUCCUGAUGGUAGUAAUUGUGUAUUUUAGUGAUUUGUGUUGUAUAAUUCAAUAAUACUCUAUUUACAUUAGGAGCUAGCUAUAGAGCUCAGAUUUAACUGAUUACACAAGAGAACCAGCAGGCUACUCAGUCACUACUGUAUUGAUCAAACAUCAUUGGCUAAUCAAUUCUAAUUAAUACAAUUUAUGCUAAUUACUAAUUUGUAAAUGUCAUUUACAAACUCAAUAAAUUUUAACACAAUUUUGACCAAAUAUGGUAAUGAUAGUGUAGUAGGAUGGACAAAAGGAGUUAUUAAUUUCAAAUUUGUGGCAAAAUAGAAGAUUUUUAGAGGGUAUAAUCAAGCACGCUUCUUCAAGUGUGGUGAGAACAUGCCAUGAUAAAUUUCUUAUAAUUUUAUCCAAUAUUUUAAUCUGCCUUAUUUCCUCAUCUCAAGGGGAGAAAUAAUUUUUCUCCAUUAAGAAUUUAAUCCACCAAACUUUAUAAUUAGAUAGGAACUUCAGCCGACCAUUAAUUGAUAAUUUUCGUAAUAAGCGUCAUGCGGUUUCAAAUUUUCUUAAAGAUUAACAAAAUUAUAAAGAAGACGAGAAUUAAUCCCGCUUUGAUCUUGGUAGAUAUAACAUUUAUUUGGUAAUGACAUUAACAUCAUCAAACACAAAUCAAAUAUCAAAAUAACUUGAAAACACAGCCCUUAGCCAUUAACGGAAAUAUUUCAUUUCCACUGCAACUAGAAACAUAUGAUCAACAAAAGAAUGAUAGUGUAUGGAAGGAACAAAGCAGAGAGCUUUAAUUAACUGACAGUCCUUCAUUAUCUCUCGCUGUCAGAGAUUCCGCAACAUUCGGAGAAAUGAUGGUGUUCUCUUUUAAUGACCAUUCUUAUUCAGACCAUAAAUAUUUACUCUUAAAGGUGAAAAAUAGACUUUGCUAGGUGGAUGUCAGAAAUUCAAAAAGAAUCUAAUAUUUCAUCAUGAAAAGGCUUUGAAAGGAAAAUCCAACAAUUAACACCAUUUCAUCUUUUAAAGCAAAGACAAAAUGUUUUAAAACUCAAUCCUGAUGUCAUUAAAUGAUUCCAAAAAGAAUUGUAGCUGAAAGUUUUAUUAUUUUUUCAUACUUAAUUCAUCUAAAAGGGACAAAACCUUUAUUACAUUUAUUUUUCCUAAAUAUAUUUUUCCCAAAUGUUAUAUGUUGAAGGAUUGUGAUACCAUAACUUAUAAUCAACAUAAAUUUUGAAAUUGGUUGUGUUGUUGGAGUAAUUCUGUAUUAAUAGCUGAAAUAACAUCCUUAAUUGCAAACUAAUGUCAUUCUUUGUAUCUUUGACACAGGUGGUAUUCAAAGAUGAAAAGAUAAUCUUUCAUUACUCUAAUGAUUACAAAAAAUCAAAAAUAAAACCUAUUAGAACUCAAAAUGGAGGAAAGAACUGCUUUGUCUAAUAUAUAUAUAUAUCUAAAAUAUUUUGAGAAAUAAUAAAUCAACUCCCUAAAAACUUUAACUUUAUAGCAUUUAAUAAUUCACAGUGACAAGCAGAAUACAUUGGAGUUAUCAGUGCAGCAAACUUUAAAAUGUCCCUGACAUUGCCCAACUUAAGCUUUGUCAAAUACUGGGAAAACAAACAUGCUAAAAUGAAAAUUACCAACGAGUAUCCUCUGGGGCCUUUUGUAGUACUCUAAUAUCCCAGAACAGUCAUUUCAGUAGAUAGAUAGAUACAGUCUAAGUCAAUUUAUGGAAGGACAUAUACAGAUAAGGACAAUGUACUAGAGCUCAGCUCAGAUCUGUGAUCUAGUUUGUAUGUAGAUAUAUUGCUAGCUUUAAAAAAGGCCAUAGAAAUCUAUUAAUAAAGUAGCUUAGAACUAAUAUCUCUGUGUUGUUGUGUUAACGCUGAUUGAACGUAACUAAAUCCUGUAUGAAAGUGGUUUUAUCGAAUAGGAUGAAAAUCUCUUCUGGCUGAUUUACUCAAAUCAAAUAUAUCGGUGAUGUUUGUGUAUAAUGAACUUUAAAUUCUAUCGAAGUUGUCUAUAUAUGAUUAGAUCAUAGAAAUGUAGUGCAGAAAAAUUCAAAAGGUCAUUAGAAUUGUUCAUCAAAUCUACUGCCCAUAAUGAUUUGGUCAUUUAUUAAAUUCACUGAAAGAAAGGUGCACUUGAGAGUGGACCUUGCACCAAACAGUCAAGUUCUAUUUAGGUCAAAGUUUAUUUUUAGCUGGAAAACAAUCACAUGUAACCAUGAAACAGGAUUUAUAAGAUCAUUUAUAUUUUUGACGAAUGAUCUAAAGCCAUAAGACAGCUGACUUAUGAAAUUGAUUUGAUUGGGUCUGACACAAUAGACUAUUAUUUUCAACUCAAUAGGUAACAGCAGGCCACCUUUUUUAUAAAGAAAAUUCCCUUAAAUGAGGAUAAAAUUGGGAUUUAUCAUUAAGCUUUUUACAACUUCUUUUCACUACCAUUAGCAUUAAAUGUGCCUUAAAAUUUACUGUCAUUCAACUCAUAAGAUUUUUCAAAGCUAAUGAAUAAGGAUACAAUGUUACAAUGUUAUUUACUUCUUUUAUUUCUCUUGUGAGGUACCCCAUUUCCACCCUCCUUAAUAUAAUAGAAAAUUAAGGUUUUUAAUAUGACCAGGUCACCUUAACUUUGAGAUAAUAAAACAUGGUGCAUAUUAAAUCAUCAGACAUGCAUUUCCAUGGCAGCAGAUUGUACAUUGUGUUUCCGAUGUUGUAAAAGCUGGGACAAUGGAAUAAUAUCUAUUAGCUCACCUAUUCUCCAGUGAAAAGGUCAAACAACAAAACAUUAAUCUUCCAUAGAAUUCAUAAAACUUCUAUUGAAUAGAAAAAUAAUUAAUAUCAGACUACAAAACAUCUAAAUGAGAGACGUUCUGUUACAGACUAAUACAGACAUGUACCAACAGCAAAUAUUCUCUAGCAGAAAAAUUAAUAUUCUACAUCAAACAUUAAUGGAUAUAAAUGAAAGAAAAUAUGAAUUAUAUGUCAAGGGGGAAGCAACCCAACAAAACAAAUAUCCAAACAACUUCUAGAUAAUGAUUACACAGAAGAAUGAGUCUUUCUGAAAUAUCUCCGAGUUUAGAAUGAGACUUGGCUUCCAUCAGAAUCAAACAUCAAAGCCGUAUGAAAAUUUCCUUAAUAUUUUACAUUUGACAAACUAAAUAUGUCAGAAUUCCCCCACCAGAACAAAGCUAGUUUAUUGAGUGACUAAUGGUAGUAUAUCUGCAGGUCUAUUUCCCCUGGUAUAAUACAGAGUAAGAUAAUCUCAUCCAAAAAGCAUACAGAUAAUACAAAAACCUUUACAUUCCAAUACACUGUCAAUGUCCAAAUUCAAUAAUACAGGGUAUAAUCUGAUAUCAAAUCUCAGCAAACGUCCCUAAGGAAUAUCCUCCUUGUUCCUAAUACCACUAUCAUUGCAACUCAUUCCUACAUUUAAAGUUUUCUUCUCAAAUGACUCAUUGAUAAAACAUAAUUUCUGUAUUCUCUGUUUCCCCGUUAAUAGAAUACAUACAGAAGAUAAAUAAAUAAAGUUGUACAAUAAUUAAUAUUAUGGUAACUUGAUGAGGCCAAUUUUACCCAAGUUAAACACAAUCCAGCUAAAUUAAAGUCAAGGUAGACAUAAUGGAAUUUGACAGUAAUAGAAUUACUCUACAGAGUUUUGACGAUCGUUAUUGUAUUACAGCAACAAAAGAGUCGUCUGUCUGUCUUAUAUUUUACCAGCUUCAAUCCAUAGAUUCAAUUUACAAACUUUUAUCUAAAAGCAUUCCAAUCGUGCAAGAUUACAAAAUGGCAACUAUUACCGUUUAAGCUCAAUUUAAUGUGUUUAUAUAAUUUGUUAAUUAGUGAAUAUUUGUAUAGGUAUUUUUGGGUUAAAAGGGCCAAGGUCAUUCUACAAUUCUGUACAUGGAAUUGGUAGAAGCUGAGGGUUAAAAUUUUACCCCAACAGUUGCAGCUGUGUCCUUAUUAGAACCUUUUAUAUGACCUUCACAAUUUUUCUGAUGAAAAUAUUCCUUCAAAGAACAAGUCAAACGCACCUCAUUAUUUACACCCCCUUUCUAAAUAUCACUUAUCAUUCAGGUAUAAUUCAAGUUUUAGAGUACAUUUGUAAAACAAAACUUAUGAAAAACCAUAUUAAUAAUUGGUUUAUAUGGCUUAAAACAUUAAAGACCACAUUUUACAGGUAUAAUUGACCUUGGUUCUAAGUUCUACAGUAAGCAUGAAGGUAUAAUGGUCAAUUGAAAAUACAUUAGGAUGAAACACUUGUGUACAGGAUAACGUCCUUGAAAAUGAUUAAUUUAAUUAAGCUGUCUGGCUCUAAUGAUAUUACACAUAUAUAUAUUAUCAUCAUUUCACUUUGCAAAACAGUUUUUGUUUAGAAAUUGUUUUCCUGGAAAUCUGUGGAAAAUGAAGAAUGAUAAUAUUUAGAUCUUGAUGGGAUUGUGCCUUUACAAAUCCCUUUAUUAAUUUCCAUAUAAUAAAGGAUUUUUUUUAACAUAAUAUAUCUAUAUAAAAAGAUGUGUAAUAGCAACACAACAUCUACUGAAUUCCAGGCUGCUGUCUUGGAACUGAGACACAUAAAUUUGGUUUUUAUUGUCUAGAAGAUGGUUACUUCAGGAGCAUACUAUAAAUUUGGACUUUAUCAUUCACAGAAAAAAUCCCAAAUAUUUACACGAUCUGCAAGGCAAUGUUUUUUUUAUUUUUGUCAUGACAAUAUUUCCAAGCUAUCAACAAAUUUAUAAGUGCAGUAGACGAGAACACUGCAUCUGAUAAAUAUAAUGACACUGCUGAUUUAAAAUGAAAUAAAUUUGAAUUUUCCCCAUUUUAUCUGAAAUUGCAUGAUAUACUUAAGUAACUUGCCAUGAUAAGAUAAAUAAGACAUUUUUAUUAUUUUUUAUGGAAAAUGUCAUAAAACUGUACAGUCACAUAUCAGAUAAUUAUCUUUGUAAAUAUUUUAUACUCCAAUUUGUACAAUUAGGAUGAACUGAACUUUAAUCAACUAAAAAAGAUAAGAAUUCAAUUUAAUCUCCUGCUGAAUAUAUACUUGCUAACUCAUCAAAAUUUUAUUGGGGAUUCCAUUAGUCAGAUGAAAAGUCCUUUUCUGUGUCACACAUGAUCGAGUUUUAAUUCCCCAUCUAUAAGCAUAAGUAUAACCUAUUAAUCUGAUUAUCAUUAUUAAUUGUAUGAUUAAUUAUUUUAUCAUUAUCACAAUUAAUCAUGUGUGGAUCAAUCUAUCUUAAUUUUAAUAAUUAAUCUUGAUCCAAGAUAAACAGAGAUAACCAAAAAUAAAAGGUGCACUUGACUUUUCACUGGUUAGGUCAAAUUGUGUUUGAUGUGUAGAGACUUUGAUACUCUUUGUCCCCAGAAAUUGGUGUGUUUGAACUUUACUACUCAGUUCAAAAUUUACCAAUAUUUAGGAAGAGCAUGUUUGAAUUGAAGUAUUUUGUUUCUGUCUAUUUUAAGCUGUCCAAUGCUAUCAUAUAGCUGUCAGUAAGAAUACGGACUGAGUUUGAGUCAAGGUAAAGGAUUUAGAUUGAACUUGAAUAAGGUGCAUAUGAUUUUCUAAUGCAGAGAGUAGAGGGGUGGGUCUAGAGGGUACAUAGUAACUUUUCUUGAAAUAAUCAAAUAUGUAAUGGAAAGCUGACUCAUACAUUUAGAUUUCUUUAAAAUGAUAAUGUUCUCAAUUAAAUCAUUGCUACUUUUUUUCAAUGAAAAAUUAUUAAAUAUUUCCACUGUCUUUAUAUUUCCAUUCUUGAGAAAUAGUUUUCUCUUUUUUAUUUUCUUUUUUAUUUUUUGUGUGUGAACUCACUUCCAUAUUGACAUGUAAAAUAACUAUAAAUCAUAAUUAGUGAUGAAAGGGGUGAAAAUUCUCAGGCAAUUCUCAUUCUUCAGAGAUAAAAGUUUCAAAACCACAUGAUAACCUUGAUUAUAUUAUCUUGGUAUCUUCUACAAUAUAUUUCUGCUUUUAUUACAAGUUUCAUGAAAAAUUGAUGACUAGAAAAAUGUUAAGGAAGAAAUAUAAGCAUGACAUCAUAAGUCUGUUAAUCGUCUGGAUAGAAACGAGAAACGAUAAAUGAUCAGAGAACAUAAAACAAUAAGAUCUCUACUGUUGUCAUUACUUCUGUGCUGUAUGUGGUAUCAUAUAAUGGAACUGGUUAAAAAUACAUGAACAUUAAGACUUAACUCAUGCUUGGAACUUUACUGAUGGCAAACACUGGACUAACAUGACAACAGAUCAAUAAUAUAUAGAUAGGUUUUGUAACACAAUAUUUGGUUAUUAUGAUGGAGGGGUUGGUUAUCAUUUUACCAAUGGUCAAUUGAUUGAAGUUCCUCACCAAAAUUUUAAAAUAUCCAUCAAAAUGUUUAAUUUUCCAAAAUUUUGAUUUUUGUAAUAUAAGCAAGAGAGAAUUAUUAGGAGCGACUGUUCUGUGAUGCAAUCAAAACACACUAAUGAGCACCAAAUAAAAUAAUAUUUAUCGAUUUUAAUCACACAUACAAAAACUAAGUUUUCGUCUAUAAAUAUUUUCUAUUCAUUGAACUGGUUAAAGAUGAAACUUUCUGAUGUUCCGCUUGUUAAAAUCGUUCAUUAAAUAAUUUCAUUCACCAUUUAUUUCCGUCAAAAUAUGAACUGAAUGUAUCGAAUGUAUGAUUUUGUCAUAACAUUAUAUCAUAUCUUCUAAGCAUAAAGAAGGCGUGUUAUUAUUUGUCUGGGUUGCCAUAUGGUUUAUUGAGAAUUGAUGUUUAGCUGUAUGUUUGUGUAAAUCCGUUCUAUCGUAUCACAGAUGUCUGACAGUCGGACAUCGUGAUUUUUUGCUACAAAAACAAUUUUCUGCCAAAGUUUUUUGUAGCCCUUAGAUAAGACAAGAUCAUACAAGGUGUUAAUUAUAUUUUUAUUCAUUUUUCUUUGGCUCAUUAUAAGAUUGAGAUUGCAGAUUGUUCACAGUUGCACUCUUACAAUGAUUUGGUUUCCUCAAAAUAUGAGAUUCCCAUCACAUUUUUGUUAUAUUAAGUUUCUGUAUAACUGUUAUUUUGCUUUCAAUGGGUUUUAUCUAUAAGUGUUGCUCCAUGGCAUGGAGUUUCAAAUGGUGUUUUUUUUUGGAACUUGUUUUAAAUCACUGAAAAAUGUAUGUUCACUUUUAGAAUUUUACAUUUGUUUUGGUAUUGUAAGGCUUCUGUACAUGUCAGUGUGAUAUAUCGAUAAAGAUUUGUGAUAAACAUCAACAUUUACAAUUCCUAUAGAACGAAUCCUUUCUGAAGAACUUUCAAAUUUUCCUAGUUAAAUCCAACCUAUCUCAAUGAAACUCAAAAAAGAAGAAAAAAAAAAUUGCUGCAUUGCUUUGUGUUAGCUGAUAGUGAGGAGGUGUUAUUGAUCUGAGACUGAUGUGAGUUUUGACAGAUUUCCACGUAUUUAACAGAUUAACAUGUAUUUUCUCCUGUUUGUUUAUACUUAUAAACCAAAAUAGUCUGGCUUCUCAUCGUAGUACUGUAACUUAUGGUCGACUGGAGAUGAAAGAAAACCGUUUCAAAAUAAACAAAAAAAUAACUUAUGUCAGAUUUCCUAACUGGAUUAUGGGGGUGUGUUCGAUGAAUUUAAGUACAUUAACCUUACAGUUGUAACCAAUAAAGUCUCUGGUGUUUAUUCUUAAAGAAAUGAUCGUUAAUUGUUUUUUAAAGUUCCGCUUGCUCAUAUUUCAAAAGAUUUUGGUACAGAGUCAGCCUAUUGUACUGACACUAUUGUCUCAUAAAAACACUGCAACAUGUUUCAAAAAAUCUAUAGCUAAUUUCAAAUACUGAAUUAGUCAGACCUUAAAAGCAAUGCUAUAGACUGUCUUCAAAAAAAUAAUCCAAAAUAUUCCCAAUUUGAAUAUUUAAGACAUAAACAUUUUGACAUUUCCCAUUUUAAUGAUUGGAACACUGCAGAUCACAUUUGUAGAAAUGAAAUAUAGGACUAGUUUCAAUUAAAAUGGCAUGUUCCAUCUCUAACUAACUGUUACAUCACAGGCUAUUGAUCCUACAAGUUAUAAAAAACACAUAACUGGCUCAGAGAAUACUCAACACCCAUUCCUACUAAUCAAAGUGGAUUUCAAUAUCUGUAUAAAGAAGACAAUAGAUAAAUUGACACUAUUUUAUCAAUAACCGAAUUUGACAGAAGAGUUCAUAGGAAAUUUAGUUUGGUGCUUGUGAUCAUCAUAAAAUCAUAAAUAUAUACCCCUCAUUUCAUAGCUAUAAUCACUUUGGAUUAUGAUUUUUACGUUUUAUUGUAUAAAUGUCUGACAAACACAUCAAAAUAUAAAGACCAUUAAUUCAUUGAUUUGUGAGGCUGCUAUUUCACAAGAUUAAUCAUUACUAUUCUAAUGUACCAUUUGUUAUUGUCUCAACUUUCAGUUUUAACAAAAAAUAAUAUUUUUAAAACUUAAAUGUAACACCUAUUUAACACUUCUUUAUCAGAAAGUGAACAUUUCCUAUAUAAAUCAUGUGAAGUUUUGGCACUAUCAGAAUUAAAAAUAACAGAUAAAAACUUCCCAACUGUCAUUUCUUACUUUACAUAAUGAUUUUAUCUACCAAACUUUAUUUCCUUUAUCUUCUUAAAUUCAGCUAAAAAAAUGAACUUACGAAAUAAAAAACAUAAUUUGAAGGUGGGAGACUCUGAUGCAUGGGGAUAUAAUUUAAAACCUGUACUUUAAAUGGGGACUCCAUGGGGUUACAAAUUAACCCUAGUUACUUGAGUUUAAACUUUGACGUAGGGGCUGUUUUAUAAAUACAUUCCUAGGCAAGAUUAAAAACCUAGACAUAGAGAUUGUAUCAAAGUUUAGAAGAAACAGUAUGGAGUUUAUAUAAAAGCUAAACCAAUGAACUAAAUUGAAAUACAGAAGGACUAAAUGAAGAUUUAGUUGACUAUAAUAACGUAUGAACGGAGACAUAGUAACCUUCAACCUAGACAGGACAACUGUUAGGGCAUAUCGGGACACAACUUACAACUAUAGACGGGGUAGUUCUGUAUGGAGAUAUAAGACUAUAACCUAGACAAGGACGUUCUGUAUGAAGAUUAUGACUUUCAUGUACACAGGGGCAUUCUAAAUGGUGGACUCAGUGACUUAAAAUAAGGGAAGGAUUUUCAGUUUCACAUUUUAGAUUUCUUUCCUUUAGAAAAUCCUAAUUGCUUUUCUCAAAAAAAAUAAAAAAUUGACCCAAUGUAGAACAAUCAUUCUAUAGCUUUCCAAAAUCCACAAUAAAUCUGUAUUCCAAGAAGACAAGACAAUUGAAUGUACAUGUAUGAUGUAAGAUCUAUAAAUACAUCAGUGAGAUGAUAGAUCUGAACUAUAAAUGUUACAGAAUACUUCUGAAGGCUGAUCACUAUAAAUGUUACGGAAUACUUCUUGAUAAUGUCGGAAUACUUCUGAAGGCUGAUCAGAAUACAAGAUCACAUUGAUUGUAAAUAUCAGUUACACAGACGAUUGACAUUUAGAUAUAUUUAUUUCUUCACAUUGUCUCCUAAUAGGGUUUAAGUUCUGUUCUAUAUUUGUUGCUUUAUAGCUGCUUAAUAUUUUUAGGUCCCUUUACUCCUCACAUAUGGUAUUUGAGUACAUAUACAGCUUUAGCUUUAAAAAUUGUGGUUUGGGCUUUCCUACUGAAGGUCACAUCCAAAAGAAGUGCUCCUCAACUGUAAUAGAAUUUAAGUCUACUUAUAGUAACUUUGAAAUAGACCUUUGACAUGGUAACUUCAAAAUAAGGAGGGAUCUUCUUCUCAUUAUAUUUGAUCUUCAAUACAAUGACCCCAAAGAAAGGUUACGAAUCCCAUAUAAAGUAUUUGAGUUAGCUAACUAUCAGUCUAACAGGUUUACUGACAAAUAAAAAACUAUAUACCCUUGCUAUUUGGUAACCUGGGAAAUUAUUGAGAGUUCAUGCUUAUAAUCAGCAAACAAUUAUGAAAACUGUGUCAUAAUAGGCAACAAUUUAAAUUUAAACUGGCCUUAUACUUGGCCUAUUGGAAAUAUAAACCCACAUAAAUAAUACUUCGAAAUUACCAAUUUGGAAUAUGAUAUCUUUAGAGAUAAAUAAUGAUUUCAAUCAUAUCUUUAAAUUUAUAACUCAUUUUUUUUUAAUUUGUUGGAGAUCCUACACAUAUUAGCUUAUAAUCAAUAAAACUUUGCUCCUUCAACUACAUACAUUUUAAUAUGUAAUAAUACAAUUGUUUCUCUUUAAUACAGAACAGACAUCACAACUAACUAUUAUUUAGCAAUCUAUCUUCUCUUCAAAAGAAAUCUUUCCUUUAUUCCAAAAGCACUUUUGAAAGUGUGAGCUAACACCACAAUAAAUACCAAUCAUCUAAAGAAUCAAUCCUUACGAAAAAUAGUGUGUCUGUUCAGUACUACAAACACAUUUGUUAAUUGCAAUUACCACAAAAAAUUAUCAACUUUUUCGAAAUUUCUCCAUCUUACAAAACACUUCGAGAAAAUGUUUGAUAUUAUCUGGCAUUAAACUGUCAAGGAAGAAACUACCAAAUCUAAAACAAAAUUGACAUUUAUUUCUCUCAUACAACAAUACAAGACAUGAUUCCCAAAAAAACAUUGAAAAUUAGAAUGUAAUUAGAGAUGGAUUGAAGUUUCCAGACAUUAAUACCAAAACAAAGAAUUAGAAAUGUGUUCAUAGAUUUCACUACUUCUCUGAUAUAGAAAUACUGUGAUAUCAAAAUCAUUUAUAUAAUAUGGAUCCAUUCAAAAUAUGCUGGUCAUACCAUCUUUUGCAUUAGAAAUUCUUAUAUCUUGAAAUAUAUUACCACCAUUGAACUCAUAUCUAAUGAAUGAAGUAAAUUUGCAGGUGAUUUUUUAAGGUAUGAUAUAUGUUGAAAGGGGUAUCAUAUUUUCUCAAGGUAGUUGAUAGACUUCCUAGAAAUUGUCACAGGAAAAAUUUGGUUGAUUAUUUAGGGAAUGACUGAGGUGGCACUUAAUGAAAAUUUAUGGAUCUGCCACUGCAGGGCUCUAGUAGUUUAACUGUAAAUAUAAAUCUGCCACAAUAGAAAACGUAGGGAUCAGACACAGGGCUCGACUAGUAUAACUGUAUACCUGCCUCACUAGAAGUUUUAGGGAUCAGGUAUAGGGCUUCAGUAGUUAAACUGUAUACCUGCCUCAUUAGAAGUUUUAGGGAUCAGGUAUAGGGCUUCAGUAGUUAAACUGUAUACCUGCCUCAUUAGAAGUCUUAGUCAUCAGUUUAUCAUAUCUUGUCUGAUUUCUAUCAUUAACUACACAGAUCAGGUUGUAAACUGAGCAGACAUUAGUAUGGUAAAACAAUCAUAUCACCUCAAAAAUGACAAACUUUCCCAGCAUCAGCCGUAGUUAUCUCUGUUACAGUCAUGUGACUGUGAAUAAUGAUUUGUUACCCUCUAACAAGACAACAAACAUUUUGGUAAAACACUAAUAGGAUUCUGAUGGAAAUAUAACAAGGUUUGUUUAUGAUAUCUUGUUUAAUCUGCAUCAGUCAUAAGCUUGAAUCUGCUCUGUUCGUUUUCUUUUUAGAAAUUAAGGGAUUCAUUCACAUUUUAUUUUAAGAUUGUUUCGCCCAAAUCCCUUCUUUUAGGUGGAAUAAAUGUAUGUUGACACCCUCAGCAUGAUGUUUCUGAAUACCAAACAAGUGCAAAAAAUGUUGACUACAUAGAUAUUUGACAACUCAAUGAAUGAUUCUGACUUUCUGAUGAAGAGCAGCUAAAAAAGAGCUUCACAUUCAUUUGCUUUGAGUUUUGUUGUGCGCAUUUAGUUAUUUUACGUUUAAAAAAAAAACAGUUCUCUUUUUUAAGUUGAACAAAAUCCAGUUCUCUUUUUUAAGUUGAACAAACUGUUAACAACUUAACAUCAUGUCUCAAAAACAUAUCUUGGAAUUUUGUCUCAAGGGGAAAUUGAUAAUAUUCAGACAAUUAAUAUUUCAUAUUCAAAAAAGAAUUAUCAGGGAAAUAACCAGUCAAACUUGUACCAUUCUCAGACAAAACACGACAAAACAGAAAAACCCAUGGAGGAUCUCAAGUGGAUCAUGUAAAGCUAUAUCAUAUCAAUUAAUAAACAAAUUUCUAGACAUGCAUUCCGUACAAAUCAAUUUAUAUUGUGGAAUCAAAAAAAAGAAAUUUCAAUUAAUUGUCCAGACAAGUAUCAUUUAAAACACAUGACACAUUUUUUUUUUCUUUUUGUAAGGUCACCUGCUGCAAAAUGUUUCAUUCAGUGCAAUUCAAUACCAGUCUAGCUUUGUAGAAAGGCAUGCCUUGUAGAAAACUGAAGAAACAUGGCUAAUCUCAUACCAUAAAAUGAACUUUUAAUUUCCAACACAAAUAAUGCAGUUCAUUUCUUUCCAUUUAUUAAAAUAUCUUGUUGAUUUCAUAAAAUGUAGCAUGUUUUUUCUAAAAAAAAAUAUUAUUAUGAAUUAACUAUGACAAUUUUGCUUCAAAGGUAAACAUUCAACUGGAAUGGUUUUCUGAUGUUGUUGAUAAAGAUUUUUGUAAUAAUCAGACUAAGUAAGCUUGGAUAAAAUGCAAUUUUACACUAUAAAAGGGGUGGGCGGGAGCAGGUUACUAUAUCAUGGGUAGCAUCUUUAUAUAACAUGAAAGUUUAUGUGAUGUCAACCAGUGGGAUGUGAACGAGUAUGUAAUACGUUAAUUGUCACUGCAGAGGCCAGAUCUUGUGCAUGAAAGUUUUUUACAUGUAAAUAUUAUUACUGAUGUCAUGUUUGAUUAGAACUGAGAACCGCCUAUGACUUAACAGUACUUAUUCCUACUGCUAUAUUUGAUAUCACAUGUAUUUAUAAUUACCCCCUAACCCCGACCAUUAAGAUUUGGUUAUCUAAUGAGACUGAAAGAAUCUACCCCUAUACCAGGAACAUGCCAAGAUAGUCGUUUCACUGUCUGGGGCUAAAAUUCUAUGUCUGCGAGUUAAUUCUACAUUUAAUAUAAUAAAAGAAUGGUCCCUUGUUUUAUUGCACAACACUUUCUAAUAACUGCAUGUGUUUAUGGCGCUCUUCAUCUUAAUGUUACUUUUAUAUAACAUACAAAGAAAUGAAAAAGGAUGCCUACUGUUAUCACGGACGUAACUCAGAUUCUUAUUUCUUAUACUUCUUCAAAUUACAUAAUUAUUGCGACCCCAUCCUCGCUAAAUCUUAAUUCUAUAUAAUUGAGCAAGGAACAAUAUGCUUUCACUUGAUAUCAAAUCCUCGCCGUAAAAAAUAACGUAAAAAAUAACCGAUGUAGAAUUAAUAUUAAAUCUGGUUCAGUAGUACAACUCUGGAUAUUUCUUCAUUUAGCUACAUGAUAAAUUACUGAACUCUCGUAGAAGUCGAUCAGUGUUAAUUUAUCAAUCAGGAAAAAAUUACUUUAUCAGAUCUUGGAUUCGGUGAUACAACCAGAAAGGUCAGAAAACGUUAUGAAGAACAAUGUGAUUAUGGAAAAGUUAGAAAAUUUGAAAUCAAGUAUCACAGUUGUGUAAGUCCCAGAGGGAAUAAUACUUUCAUGCUUCUUUCCAUUUCUUUUUUAAACAAAGAAAAAAAAUACAAAAUGCAAAUGAGAAUACUAAACAUUUAUUUUUUCAUUAAUCAACAAUCUCAAAACAUGUCAUAAACCGUUACCAUAUCAACAAUCUCAAAACAUGUCAUAAACCGUUACCAUAUGAUACAGUCAUUUAAAGCAACAUAAAAUAGACACCAAAUCACCUUGUUUUUCUAAAAUUGUCAUCUAACAUUUUUUGGUGGAAUUAAGUUUAUAUUUUCUUUGUUUGCUCUCCAACUUUGUCAAGUUAGUUAUUAAGAUGAUAUCGUAAGGAUAUGUUACUGAUGAUUUAUUGGUAAAUAAGCUUGAAGCAAUGGGUUAUAGUUCUCAAUGCAGUGUUUCAUGGUUUGGGUGUUGUAAUAACAUUUGAUACAAACGUUAAAUUUCUCAGGAUCAUUGCAGAGCUUUUAAACUUUAUAGUGCAAGAUACUUAUACAUUGUUAAAGGUCAUACAGUGAUAUACAGUCAUGUUCAUUUUUGGAUCCUAUUUUUUCUCUCUAAGGUUGCUAAUUCUUUGAUGUGAAUACAAACACAACAAAUGUUCUUUUUUUUGUCAGUUUCAGUUCAUGUUUGAAGUAACCGUCACUUAAACAUUUUUACUUGGAGUAUAGAGUCACUUAAUUUACAAAGAUCUGAAAUAAAUGUCAGUUUGUUUUCAUUGCCAUCAAAAACUUGACAGCUUUAGAACCCUCAAUAUUAUGUAAUGCUCAAAUGUAGGUUUUUCCUUGAUGAUACUUUAGCUGAUUUCAUUGUAUCAUAAGUCAAUUGCAUGACUACUAUAACUCUGUCAUCAUUAUAUAAACAGUGUAGUCUAUUGAUUCUCUGUCCAAUACUAUUGCUUCAAGGAUAUGUCUUCCACAGACACUACAAUCAUCAAAAAUUCAAACAUAACUCAACAUUUUCUUAUUUUAUAGAUCCACAGAUUAAUAAUUUAGGUCUUUAGCUCGUAUCACAAUUUUAGUCAAACACAGUUUAAGUUUAGUCUUUUUGUAUAAGGAUUUUAAAAGAAAUUUCCUUCCAAUGAUCCAUUAAAAAAAUAUGUACCAUAUCCACAUAGCUAGCCUACCCUAUCCUUUUCUGCCAGAAGGAAUCAUACAAGUGUAUAACAUUUUUGGCCUUAUCACUGAUUUGAGAAACAAUGAUGGUACCUAUCUUUUUAUUUUUUAACAGUUUUUUAGUCAGUAUAAUUCACUAAGUGUCAUUUCAUUCAUUAGACUUGAUGUCUAACUGACAUUUUUUUAGCAUCUGAUUUAUACCCUCUAAGAGUACCAAAAAUCUCUUGACCAAAUCAUUUACUGUUGUAAUGUUUCAUUUAUCAUUUUUAAUUUAAGCAUGUUUAAUUCAACAUCAAUGUCUUAUCAUAAAUAAAUUUACAAGCUUUAAAAAUACUUCACUAGGUUACAAAAUGUCUGGUUAAUGACAGUUAGUACAGUAGCCUGGAAUAUAUGAUUCUCAUCAGAUAAAAUAUAUCAAUGCCAUGAGUUUAAAGAGCCAGUACAUGCACAAAUUCAAACUGUCUGAUUAUGUUACUAAGUAUUAUGUAAGAUUUUUUUCUUAAGUAGAAAAAAUAAAUUAUUUACUUCAAGAGGAGCAUAGUAAGUCAUUAUUUAUUUUUAUUUCCUAAAAAAACACCCUCUAAUUAUACCAACAUUGUAAAGGUAUUCACAAAGGUCAAAGCAUGAGGUAGAUCAAGACAGGGUGGCAAUCAUUACUGAUCAUUCCAAUGUAAUGGUAAAAUCAAUUACCCAUAAUGCUGUUGUACUUCCAGGUGUGAUGAACAGAUGGUCUGGUGCAAGAGACACCUAGGCAUGUCAAAUCAUAAUAAACACAUACAAAUCCUGUAAAACUAUCUAUUUUAUGUUGCACUUUUAUCACAACAAGAUGUUUAUAAAGUGUUGAUAAAGAUCUCAUGUGUCCAUUUUUUACUUUGCAACCUCUUUUGAUUUAUCACAAGGGCAGUGUAUCAUGUCUGAUAUCAGCCAGUAAUCUUUAUAAAGAUCUAUCAUAGUGACCCACAUCAGUACCUAGAAAUCAAUAGAUAAAACAAAUUUGAAAAGAAUUAUUAUAUUUUAGUAUCUGAUGUGUAUUGAAUACUGGAACUAGGGGCUCUAAAGAGCCUGUGUCGCUGACCUUAGUCUAUGUGAAUAUAACAAAGGACACAGAUGGAUUCAUGACAAAAUUGUGUUUUGGUGAUGGUGAUGUGUUUGUAGAUCUUACUUUACUAAACAUUCUUGCUGCUUACAAUUAUCUCUAUCUAUAAUGAACUUGGCCAAGUAGUUUCAGUGGCAAAUGUUAGUGAAAUUUAAAAAUUUUAUGAAAAUUGUUAAAAAUUGACUAUAAAGGGCAAUAACUCCUUAGGGGGUCAAUUAAACAUUUUGGUCUUGUUGACUUAUUGUUAGGUCUUACUUUGCUGUACAUUAUUGCUGUUUACAGUUUAUCUCUAUCUAUAAAAAUAUUCAAGAUAAUAACCAAAAACAGCAAAAUUUCCGUAAAAUUACCAAUUCAGGGGCAGCAACCUAACAUCUGAAAAUUUCAGGGCAGAUAGAUCUUGACCUGAUAAACAAUUUUACUCAAGUCAGAUUUGCUUUAAAUGCUUUGGUUUUUUAGUUAUAAGCCAAAAACUGCAUUUUAUCCCUAUGUUCUAUUUUUAGCCAUGGCGGCCAUCUUGGUUGGUUGGUCGGGUCACGCCACACAUUUUUUAAACUAGAUACCCCAAUGAUGAUUGUGGCCAAGUAUGGUUAAAUUUGGAGAAGAUUUUUGUAAAAGUUAACGACGCAGGACGCAACGGCGACGCCAGACGCCAAGUGAUGGGAAAAUUAAAUGGUGGACAAAAAAUUAUAAAGAAGGACGAAUCUGAUCAUUAAAUUUCCCCCCCACUAUCAAAUUUUAAUUGUACAACAGAGCUUAUUUCAUAUUUGUUUUAUUUUCCUAGCCAGUAAUAAAUGUAUUCUAUAUAUAAGUUGAUUUUGAAUUAAGAUCUUUGGUCCCCGACAGAGCAAGGACAUAGGCUCCAAUAAACACAGGAGAGGACAGCAUUUUUAACUUCAUUUGUUCACAUUGAAUUUCAUAAAGUGUGUAUGAAAGUACUUGUGUCUCUCUCAGAUUCUGAUGAAGGAAAUAAAAUUUAACUGUUUAACCUCACUGGUACACAUUAUUCUGCUGGUGUUCAAAAGCUCUAUAAGUCUCAGAAGAGAAAAGUCUGAUCAAAUUAAUACAAUGGCUGACCAAUCUGCAUUUUAGACUUAAAAGUUUUCUGUUAAAUUAACAUUGUUUUUAUUGAAUUAAAUGAACACAGUUUCCUUGCUUUAACUAAUUUACACUUGGUUGGAAUUAUUCAUAAGCCAUUGCUUCAAAAAGUGCAUGUAAGAUAUAUAUAAAUUAACUUGUUACAUAAACGUGUAAUAUAAAUGCAUCAAAUGGAGAAAAAUGUGCCGUAAAACAAAUAAUAUAAGUCCUUCUUUGAAGUGUUAAUAGAUAUAUAUCUGUCUCAUGAUUUUCCAUUAGGUUCACUUAGCCAAGUAAAUGGAAAUUCCCAAGUUUAUGAUAAAGAUACAUUUUUGUUGGAAAAUAGUUGCAGUUUUUUUUUUAAUCCUAAUCUAUAGAAAGCAUUAUAAUAGAAUUAGUUUAUGUUUUAUAAGUAAUAAAACAGUACAAAAGACUCCUAUAAAUCUAACAGAGAAUUGGUGUCCCACGUCUCUGAAGAAUCUUAAUUCCUCAUGUUACAGUUUUCUUCGAUGAUUUUCUUUGAUUAUCUUUCUCUUAAUUUGACCGAAGUAGAUAAAUCAAUGUAUAUUAACAUAUGUCAAUCAUGACGUCGGUUCAGAAUAUACUGUUUCCUAUCCCGACUGAUCCCAGAUAAUCCGUGCAUCUCAACACACGAAUAAUAUUGUCUUCAUUUCCAUACCAGACUAUACAAUAUAUUCAAACAGUCUUCAUUAAAACCAUCUUACUUAGUUAUUAGUACAUUUCUUAUUAAUAUAUAGAGGAGAAACUUAAAGGUCAUAUCAAAGGGAAAUAACUCCAAUAUACAUGUAUUCAUUUACAUUCAUAUCAAAUAUCCUAAGGUGUUUAGUAAAUUUGCUUGCUUAAAGUAGUGAAUGUCCUGAAAUCGACCUGAAAUAUCACUCUUUGUAGAAAGUGGCAUUAAAGUAAAGUCAUCAAUCAACCAGUCAAUAAUGAACCAAAAAACUGAGUUUGAGAUCAGGAUUCUUGGCCUUCAAAAAAAAUCUUACGACUAAAGUUGAUUGUAUUGAGUAUACUAACCAGAUGCUCCACAGGGGACAGCUUUAUACGACCGCAGAGGUCAAACCCUGAACAGUUGGGGCAAGUAUGGACACAACAUUUAAGCUCAAUACAGCUCUGAAUUUGGAUUGUGAUUAAAUAGUUGACACAACAUAGGUUUCUGACACAGAAUGAAUGUGGUCCAAGAACUUAAACUUAAAAACUUAAAAAUUUUAAAAUGGACAUUUACCUAUUAUGGUCCAAUAUCCAAAAUAUAAAGACAUGGUUAGAUUCAGCAUAUCAUAGAACCCCAAGAAUUCAAUUUUUGAUGAAAUCAAAUAAUGUUCAAUUUUAGACUCUAUAGACCUCAAUGUGGACCAAUUUGAUAACUAAUUUCAGGGCCCAAAUAUUAAAAAUCUAAAUACAUGGAUAGAUUCAGCAUAUUGAAGAACCUCAUAUAUCCAAUGUUUGUUGAAAUCAAACAAAGUUUAAUUUUUACCCUUUGGACCUUAAUGUAGACCAAUUUGAAAACAGGACAAUACUGUGCAAUUGAAUAUUUCUUGCUAUUGCGCAAUACUGUGCAAUUGAAAAUUUCUUGCUAUUUCGCAAUAUUAUGCAAUUAGAUAUUUCCUUGCUAUUGCGCAAUACUGUGCAAUUGAAGAUUUCGUGCUUUUGCACAAUGCUAUGCAAUAGAAGAUUUCUUGCUAUUGCGCAAUGCUGUGCAAUUGAAAAUUUCUUGCUAUUACACAAUACUGUGCAAUUGACGAUUUCUUGCUAUUUCGGAAUACUGUGCAAUUGAAAAUUUCUUGCUAUUGCCAAAUACUUAAUAUAAAAAUUUUGGACCCUGAUUUGGACCAUCUUGAAAACUGGGUCCAUAAUCAAAAAUCUAAGAACAUGUUUUGAUUCAGCAUAUCAAAGAACCCCAAGAAUUCAAUUUUUGUUAAGAUCAAGCUAAGUUUAAUUCUGGACCCUUUGGACCUUAAUGUAGACCAAUUUGAAAACAGGACCAAAAAUUAAGAAUCUGAAUACACGGUUAGAUUUGGCAUAUCAAAGAACACCAAUAAUUCAUUUUUUGAUGAAAUCAAACAAAGUUUAAUUUUGGCCCCUUUUGGCCCCUAAUUCCUUGGGACCAAAAAUCCCAAAAUCAUUCAAAACCUUCCUUUUGUGGUCAUAAACCUUGUGUUAAAAUUUCAUAGAUUUCUAUUAACUUAUACUAAAGUUAUUGUGCAAAAACCAAGAAAAAUGCUUAUUUGGGACCUGUUUUUGGCCCCUAAUUCCUAAACUGUUGGGACCAAAACACCCAAAAUCAAUCCCAACCUUCGUUUUAUGGUCAUAAACCUAGUGUUUGAAUUUCAUAGAUUUCUAUUUACUUUUACUUAAGUUAGAGUGCGAAAACCAAAUGUCUUCGGACGACAACGACCCCAACGUCAUACUAAUAUACGACCAAAAAAUUUUCAAUUUUUGCGGCCGUAUAAAAAGUUCAUGUAUGACUUACGAUGAACUUGAUUCUUAAUAUCUAUUGUGAAACAAGUAACAAAAUCUAUUUGGCCAAAGGUUUGUUACUGUAUACAAAUCUUAGUUAAUCCUAUCUAUCUUAUAAACGUUCUAUCACUCCAGAUACAAUAUUUUUUUUCAAUUACCUAAGUUCCCCGAGUUCUCUGCUGAAAACACCAUUGUCAUUAUUCUUCUUAGUCGAGACAAUUUUUUUCUUUCUUUCAAUUUUUAAAAUGUCAGAGAACUAGUAUAUUAUGUUAGAGACAGAUAAAUAAUAUUCAUUAUUACUAAAUACAACAGAACGAAGACGGAUAAAGGAAAUGUAGGAUGAGCUGGCGACAGUUUCUAAGGUUUCUCAACUCAAUUGCUAUUUUUUUUUAAUAUUUUAAAAUAGAAGCAGUCUGUAUGAAGAUAAUUACUUCUCUCAUGACAUGAUUACCGAAUUAAACGUGGAGUCUAAUCUGUAGUCAAGGUCUUACAAAAGAAAAAUUCUUACAUAGAUGCACUUAGUAAUAAGCUUGAGUUUGUUUAGGCUUUUUUAGGAGGUCUAAGUGUAGUUUUCUCAUCCUACGAUGGACAAUUUCAACCAUAAUUUCUGCCAUCCAGAUUUAUAUGUUAAAUUCAUCCUCUAAAUCUGGUAUCUUCGGAAACUAUUCAAAACAUACAUAUUAGUAUGCCUGAGUUCAAUUUAGUUGAAAAGAAACUCCUUAAAAUGAUUGGAAAUUACUGUCAAAUAAUUAAAUUAAAAAUCCUUUCGAAAGUUUUGUGAACUUGGCACUUUGGCUUAAAUUUACUAUAACAUAUCAUCUUUAAGAAGUUUGACGAAGCAUUAUACAAUUUUCAUUCAGUCAUCAAUUGUCAUGGCUGAUGAUCUCAAUAUUGCAUGAUAAAAUCACUGCUGAUGCCGGAAUCAGUAAAAUUCCUCCCGAUCUUCAAGUGCUAUGACUUAAUGUAAAUGAUCAUACAAACAACUCAAAGUACACUCUCUAUUAUUUUGUAAAUAUGUGUUCUGUUCUAAGACUAAUGACCAAACUGAAUAAUGCAUGAGUUGCAGCGAUAGCCUAACAUCAACCCUUCACAGAACGUCAGUGAAAUAUGCAAUUGAUUCCUAUUCCCCAUUAGGAACCUGUUAAUUUAAACAUCUGAAUGACCGAUAUCUAAAUCACUGGAAUGUUUGUAAUUACUUGUUGCCAAAAACAGACAUUAUCUGAAACAUAACAUUGUUAAUAUACCAAUAAGGAUCAUAGUACUGGUAUCAUGUACACCAAUAAUCGUUUAGGUACCAGUAUCAUACAGUGCAAGUGAUUGCUAUGUAGAAAUUGGAUGCUGUCGGAUUUUUCAUUAAAUUUUCUAAUUUCCAGGUCAAUAAUGUAGUUAAUGAAGGGUAACUGUUAGAUAAUGAUUGCUUAUUGGAUGCAAGUUUGCAUUUACACGUAAAUUCACAUAUAUACUUAUUUAAUAGGAAGAAACAGUAAUCGGUAUGCCUGCGUGAGUUUUAGACAAUGCUUUCCCAGCCAACAUUAAAAUAUGAAUCAUAGGAGAUCAUGCAAGCUUAGUUUAUGUAACUCAUGAUGAGUUAAAUUAAAUCUUCAAUUAUUCAAAUUAUAAACAACACAAUGAGCUUACACAAACCAAUUAAAGAGUAGGCGUCAAGUUACAUGUGACUUUCCAAGUCUGUGACAAAAGAGUGGUAAUAUUCAUAACAUACAUAGUUCAUGACAUUAAAUGAAAAUGUUAGACUUAAAAAAAUUUCAUCUUAAAUGAAGCACUAUUAUUGAAUUUUAUUUUUUAAAAAUGUUAAACUAAAUGAUAACUGUUAAUUUUUUCAAAAUUUCAACCUUUAAAAUUUUAAAAUGGAAUGCACACUUGUAUAUAAAUGUUAAAAUUUUCUGUCCAGACUUUCUAAAUCUGAAAGUUGUUUGUCCAUUUCAUACUGUUGACAUUCAUUUGACAUGUGGCAAAGAAGAUAUAGUCUGAUUUGAGUCUAUCAAGUAAUUCUUCUUUGGACCGUGAGAUGAUAAAAGGCACAAGACAUAAAAUCUGUACCUUUUGUACAUUAGAUAAAAGCCUGGGACACAAGAGAUCACUGUAAAUAUUAACAGGCCAUAUAGGGAGAAUGAGAUGAUAUCAGCAGCCAUCCUGUCCUACCUUUAUAGACAUACAAUCCCAUUAUGUAUUGAUGUGGACAGAGGGAGUCAUUAAAUCUAAAUUAAUAAGAUGUGAUCUUUAUGUCCAAUUUUUAAUAUGCUGUAAAUAUGUCACAAACCAUGAUGGCUUUCUUCCUCGAUAGCUUAAGGGAAGAAGCUGUCUGGAGCCAAAGACUUAUUUCCCAAGAUGCUCGUAAAAUAUAACAAUACAUAAACUCAAACAUAUUUACAUAAUGGUUUGGAUUAAAACAUUCAUGAUAGUAAGAUAUAACAAUAAGUCUCGAUCGAUCAGAUGCUUGUAACAGUCUGUUAGCUACAUGUAACAUCUCAGUAACUAGAUAGAAUAUAAGAGAAUGGAAACGGGGGAAUGUGUCAAAGAGACAACAACCCGACCAAAGAGCAGACAACAGCCCAAAAAUAUUAUACUUAGUAAAGAGUUAAACAAACCCCAACUCUUAAUGUCAUUGGAAAAUGAGAUCUUUAAUCAUCAAACAACUCUUUAUGCCAUGCAGAUGUUGAAUACUCCUUUAUGAUAGACUCAGGUUCAUAGAUUUGAUCACUUAAUUUACACUUUAACUUUGUUUAUUGUCAAAUGAGAUAUGAAAAAAUGAAAAAUUUACAAUAGUUUUUUUUUUUAAUUAAAACAACAUCACUUUAAAAUAAAACAAAAUGUUUUCUUUUUCUACUUUCUUUGUGCCAAUAAAAAUGAUAUAAGUUAUCAUUAGUGAAUACUUUGUAUUUUUCAUCUGAGUUUCAUUAUAAAUAUGUAAUUGUGGAAAUUGCUGUUUUUAUUUGAUGCUUUAUUGUAGCAAUGUGAAAUAAUUGGUUUGUUGAAACUGAUGUCUCACAGUGUUGCAAAACUAAAUCAUUAUCAUGUAGGAUUUAUGAAAAAAAAUCACAUCAUCAGUUAAAUACUUCAGAAAAUGCAAAAAAAAUAACGAAAAUCAACCCUCCCCUACACUAAGCGGGCAAUACUGUGUUUAAAAUAUGUUUUAAACCAUUUUCAAAGUUGAUUCAGCAAUGCUUGAUUUUCAACCAAACCAAUGUUUAUAGUUUAUGCUUCCUGCUACAUUACAGUUACAUUAUUAGUAUCACAGGAAAAGGGUUGCUCUUACAUUAGCUCUGAAAUAAACAUGUCCACUCUGCCAUCAGAGUUAUUCUGCUGGUAUUUACACAGAAAAAAAAAACAUGAUAUCCCUACAAAUAAUGAUUUCCCCUUACUCUAAAGAAACGUGAUAACUCAGCUCACAGAUUAAUAUUUUUUCAUCUUUACUCAACAGUUGAACAACGAGUCAUGUUAUUUAUGACAACACUUGAUCUAUUUACCGACUCGUCAUUGGGACAUAAAUCUAUUUCAGUUAAAUAGUUGCGGAUGCUAAACCAACAGAGAAUUUUAGAAAACAAACACUGCUUCCUUCCUUGCCGUUACACAAAUUUAUAGUUUAUAUGAUCGAUUCCAAUUAUAAAUAUGCUGUUACAGUAAACUAUUUCAUUAUUAUCGCAGAUAGUCUGACUUAAUUGUACUAAAGGUAAUUUCCACACCUCAUAAUUUUUAUCAUUUACACAAUCAUCUUCUAAAUUUGACCAAUUAUUUUAGAACAAAGUAUAAUUUUCUAGAAUUAGGAUAAGGAGGUGAUAUUUAUUGGGCUUAAUUAUUUACUAUAAUAUUGUUAUGACAUAGUCAAUAUUUUCAAAUAAAUAAUGAAGCAUUAAAAUAAAUGAUUAAAACUAAUUACCAUGCUAAUAUUGGGCAAUGAUGAUGGUGUUGAACACAAACUGUAACAAAUUAAAUAUCAUGUUGUGUAAUAGGAUUUGAGGCAGCUAUCAACCAAUGGCUGUGUUACAAAAAGUCAUUCAAGCUCAAUGUUAGGACAUAACAAUCAGAGCAGAGCUCAAAACUUCCAAAGGUUUGUGGUAUAUCAGGCUGCAUUGGAGUCAGAGAUAGACCUCCAUUAGUGGUUCACUAAGCACAUCAAAUUGAAACAAAAAUUACAUAUGACUUAUAUGUAAAUGCAACUUUUGUCUCAAUUUUGCCUCAAUAUAAAUCGAGAAAAUAUAAUUUUUCAUGUAAAACAAAUAAAAAAAUCUUUGGUUUAUAUUUUUACAAUUUUUUCAACAAUUUUGUAUCACUGAUGCUUCAAAUAAUCACUAUUAUCCUUUAUUUACUUUAUUAUGAUGCAAUACAUUGAAAAAAUUAAUAAUUUAGCGCUUUUAUUUUGACAUUUCAACAAAGCUAAAUUUUAAUGGCAAUCUCUGUAAAUUACAAUGUAUACUUUAUAAGCGGAAUGGAAAAUAUAAGUUGAACAAACAAGUAUAACGUGACACUACCAUAUCGUUAGUCACACACAAUGUUUCCGCAAACAGAGACAAUCUAGAUGUUAAAAGUUUGUAAACAUCAAUUUAAGGACGGUAUCAGUUGCAUCAAUAGUAGAUAUAAAUCGUUAUUUGUACUCAUCAUACAUGCAUUAAAUGGCUUAACGGACACAUCAGCGACUCUAUUAUAACUGAUGUGACAGGUAUUAUGGUAUAUUAUACUGUUUUAACCCAGGAAGGACCAAAGUAACACAAUUUAUUUGCACCAGUAAUAGCAAACAUCCACAAGGGCAAUGAUAUAAAAUGUUUCAUUGUUUUUAGAGUACAUUUGUUUGGUCUGAAAUUCUUUUUGCUGCAAUGGGUGUAAAACUUAUAGAGAAAAUGUUUAUUUGUAAUUUCCAACUAUUGUCUUGUUUGUUUGUUGCUUCAGCUAUAUUUUUUUUUACCUGGCUAGUUUUUUUCCUUACAAUUUGAGAAGUUUUAGAUGUUGACUAGAGAAGUUUUACAUAAAAAGUUUACUUCCUAAGAAUGACAAAGACCAGUAUACCACCAAUUCCACAAGAUUCACACACACAAACAUCAGGCAAUAUGUUGUCAAAACAGCAAAAGUCUUAUCUGUGGCACUUAUAUAAUCAUUUCUUUUUGUGUUUUUCAGUAAGAUUUGGAGUAUGGAAAGAGCUACCUCGAACAUCACAUGAAGCUGAGCGAAAAGGCUACACUAGAGUUAAUGAUAUCUGCAAAAGUGAGUAAAAGGAACUUAACUCUUACAUAGUGUUUAGCAGAAUUUAAUC
rnacentral:lncRNA from 1 species